AGAGAGAUAAGAGGAAACAAGAAGAAAAGCUUAUGGCUGUGGUCAACCCAAUGCGGAACGCAAAGAGGAAAUUGAGGAUUGCAGCCAAGCAUCGAGCUCACAAGAAAAGGAAAAUAAUGACAAUGAAGAUGGGGAGAUGGGUUCGUUAAAACUCGGAAAAGAGCCUUUUGAUUGUGUCUAUAGGUUGCUUGUGCUCAGAUGAUGCUCUUUUCUGGCUCCUUCCCUGUCUUCUGAGUAGCAUAUAUAACCCUUCACAAGUACUCUGCCUGAUGUACAGAUGCAAUUGGCUGCAAAAAUCCACAAUGGAAGGCAUUCACUCAUUUUGCCAGUAGAGGGAGCCUACAAAAUGGUGUGAGCUGGCUGCAAUACCCCCAUCACUCUAUACCCCCUUUUUUAGUUGUUAAUUUCUGUAAAUAUACAAAAAUAUGUACUCAAAUUCAAAUACAAAUUCAAGUUCUGAGGAAUAUUCUUAUGUAUCAAAAUUUUGGUAAGAGGUCACACAGAGGUUAGGGUUGAGGUUCCUUGCUUUGCUUAUUUUAAUUAUUUCAAGUCCAAGGGUUUAAUGCUUCUUGUCUUUGAAUCUUCAUUUUUCUUUUCCUUAUGUUUGUUUCCUGUUUACAUACACAACAAUAUAUGUCAUUAAUUUAUUUUGUGAAAUAUAGUUAACAAGUUCUGCAACUUAAAUUAAGUUAUUAAGCCAUUAAUGAUGGGUUUGAUAAAUUAAUUUUAUGAUUUAAUGGUUUAAUUUAAGUUUUUAAGUAUGUCAAGCAUGUUUUGUAAAAUACUAUUCUAUAAAUCAAGUUAAUAAUUUAAAGUGGUUUAAUAACUUAAUUUAAGUUAUUAAGUAAACUGAGUAUAUUUGGUAACAUAAUUUAAUGAUAAAAACAAUUUUAAGUACUAAGUAAAAACAAUUAAUUUAUUUUAAAAUUCAUAUUUUUCUUUUUCUUUUUUACUCUCAUUUAUUCUAAUUUUAUUCACUAUAUCUUUUGUUACUCUAUGAUCUUUAUUGUUAUUUGACAUAAUUUUACUCUAAUUAUAAUUUAUGAGGGUAAAAUUGUCAAUUUGAUGAUUUAUAAUAAAUUUUAAAUUAAUUUUAUCAAAUAACAAUUAAGGAAUAAGUUUUAAAUCAACAACUUAAGUAUAAUUUAACUUAAUGUCAAUUUAAAUAUUGUAAUAAUAUAUAAUAUUAAAAAAAUUUAAUAUUAAAAUUUUUAUUCUAUUUUUUUAUUAUUUUAAUAAAUUAAAUAUGAACAUAACAUAAGAUAACUCAUUGGAUAUAAAUACCUUAAGAGAUUAUUUUAAUAAAAUCAUAUUGAAAUGUAAAUAAUAUCUUAAAAUUGAUAUAAGAUAUAUAUCCUAUUUGAGAUGCAAACCUUAAAAUAGAUAUAUAUAUAUAUAUAUCCUAUUAUAUAUCUUAUCCUACUAUAUACCCUCUGUUUCUUUAUUCUUCUCUCUUAUCGUAACACUACAAUUACCGCAUAGGGCAGGACAGAUUGUUCAAUUUCCCCUCUUGACUGCAUGGGUUAUGCAUUGCAAAUUUGCCAUCAAAGGUUCAACUUCCAGCCCCAUUAAUUUAAUCCAAUAUUAUUUAUAUAUUUUUACACUUAAAAAUUCUUUUUUAUUUUUACUUUUAAAGUCUGAACAGCCGUUUUAAAUUAAUUUAUUUUAAUUAUAAAAUAUAAUUAUUCCAAUUCUAUUUUAAUUUAUUUUUAUUACUGAUCAUUAUUAGUUUCUGCUUUCAUGGAAAGUUAAUAUUUCCUAGUCUAACGUUAACUUUCCAUGAAUGCAGAUAAUUGUUUUCAUUCUAAAACGUGCACAGUACUGGGAGAGAGAGAGAGAGAGAGAGAGAGGGAAGGAGGCAUGAGAAAGGGAGGCAAGAGUUGGUUGAAUUUGAAAUGGGUUGAAAGGCAGCCCAUGAAGGUAAAAAUAUUGGUGGGUGUACUGAUCCUAGGGUUUUGUUUAGUGGGUUUGAGGCAUCUCAUGAAAUAUGACAAUGGCUUUCCUUUGUUCAUGGCCUCCCAAUUCAUCCAUCUAUCUGGGAUCAUCAUCCUCAUCUUCAAGCUCAUCAAAACCAAGACCUGUUCUGGUACUUCCAUUUUUUCUUCUGCUUUUUACUUUGAUCUUAAUUUCAACUAUUUGAUUGCUGUCAAUUGUGUUAUAUGCUUCUUCUUAUUAUUUCUUUUAUUGACUUGUUUCUUAUCAUUGUUUAAAUUAUAAUUUGAAUGAAUAUUUAAAAUUAUAUUAAUCUUUUAUUUUGUUACAAAUGAAAAUAAAAUAAGAAUGAUAGGGAGGCUUACAUUUCUCAAUGAUUGACGACUUUUUAGAGAGAAAUAAUAGGACCUUUCUUAAAAAUAAAUUCAUUGAGAAAAAAGUUGGAAGUAAAAAUAAAACUAAUUAUACAAAUAUGUACAAUGAUUAAAAUUAAAACAUUAGCUAGACUUAAAAAUUAUUUUUAAAAUAUAUUUAAAAAUAUUAAAAACAAGUUAAAAACAUUUUAUGUUUUCAAACAUACUUUUAUUUUACAAAAUAUCAUAAAAUAGUUUUCAAAAACAGUUGUCAAACAGAUUCUAACUCUUCAUCCUUUUUUGUUCACAUUUUAACUAGAAUACCCUCAUUCUUUUUCUUUUUCUAUAUUUUGUAAAAAUAAAUCUUUCUUUUAAAACUUAUAUAUAAAUAUUUAAAAUAGUUAUGGACAUCUAUAUUAUAAAUAACCCAAAUAAAAUCCCACUUAAAACAACGCUUAUAAAAUAAGUGAAAAUAAUAUAAAACAUCUUGUUUUUUGUUCUUAAAGAUAUAAAACAAAAAACAGUUUUUGGUUGUCAAACGUGUUUUCCUAUUUUUUUUUUUUUUUUUGUCGUAAGAACAAAAAUCUAUUCUUAUCAAAUAAGCCUUUAAAUUCCUAAAAUUGAGUUUUCAAUAACCCUUUUAAUCAAAUAACCCUUAUUUAAAUACAUAACUCUCAUGUCCCAAAAUAAAAAUUUAAGUGUCAAUUAAUUUUUAAAAUAUUUAUACAAUUUUUUUUUUGGAUAAAUAUUAAUUUAAUUUUUUGAUCAAAAUAAAUAUGUACUAAGAAAAAUUUAAGACACUUUCAAACAUAAACUAUAUCAUAUAUACCAAGUUUAUAUGACAUCUUGUGAUGACUUGAUGAGAAUAAUUUAUUUUUUUAUCAAAAUAAAUAUAUUCUAAUAAAAAUUUAAGGCACUUUCAAACAUAAAUUAUAUUGUAUAUACCAAGUUUAUAUGAGAUCCCAUGAUGAUUUGAUGAGAGAAUAAUUUUUUUUAUCUUUCUUCAAACUUCGUUAGAGUUGAGUUUGAGUGAGUAAGUGGGUUAACAUGAAACCAUCCAAUAAAUGAGAAAAUAGAGGAACAAUUUUUAAAGGUUAUAAAAUUACUCAAAAUUGUCACUAUUAAACAAACAGUUUUUUUUUUCAUCUCUCUAGGAGAACUCUCUUUUCCUAAAAACCAGAAAAAGAAAAAAUGUGUUUCUCUUCCCUCCCCAAAAACAAACAAAGAAUACAAUUCUCUUUUUGAACAAACAAAAGUCUUUUCUCUUGAUUUUUUUUUUCUCCUAAAAGUCCGAAGGUUAAGGCUGUUGUAUUGUGAAAAAAAAAUGUUCUCUUAAAAGUGAGAAAAAUGAUUAGUGAAACAAUCACUUGGGAAUCUUGGGUAUUUCAGAAGGUGAUUAAUGAAACAAUCUCUAGGGAUUUUUGAGCAUUUUAGAAGUAACCCAUAAUCCGUAUUGUUUUGAAUGAGGAGUGUUUUUGAAAUUCACGUAUGGAGCAAGUAGAUUAUGGGAUAUACAUAUAUAAUUCCUAACUCGAUCUAGUAUUGACUUCAGGGCUUUCCCUAAAAAGUCAAGAGCUGACCGCUAUAGUCAUGGCAACAAGAACAUAUUGCAGUUUUGAAGUAGAAGAGCAUGGUUUAACACUACUAGGCUCUGCUAUAUUUCUUUCUACUCUUUGGGUCAUUUAUAUGAUCCGCUUCAAGUUGAAGCCUACCUACUCUAAGGAACUCGACAGCAUGCCCCUCUAUUCUAUGGUAAUUAAACCCCCCACCACCCUCCAUCCCCUUGCUUUAUUUUCUCUCUCUCUCUCUCCAUGCUACUGUUUGAACUUUCAGGUGGUGCCUCCAGCUAUCCUUGCUGUGCUAAUCCAUCCUCAUAUCGAUCACAGACUCCUCAUCAGAAUAGUUUGGUCUUUCUCUCUCUACUUGGCCGCCGUCUCUGUGCUUCCUCAGCUUCGUUUAAUGCAGAAUGCAAAGGUUAAUUAAUUAAAUUUGUUGAUCCAUCAUCCAUUGAGAAGGUAAAUUGAUUCUUUUCAUCUUUUCUUCAUCUCCUUUCAGAUGGUGGAACCCUUUACCGCAUAUUAUGUGUUUGCAUUGGGCGUGGCAAGAUUUCUCAACUGUGGUUCUUGGAUCAUUCAUGUGAGCAGCUUUUCCACCUCUUUUUUCACACUACAUAAAAUAUUAUCAAUAUAUUUUCAAUUAAUGUCAUGCAGAUUUAUGAGACUGGGGGACGGUAUUUAAUGUUCUCCGGCAACUGGACGCAGUUGUGGGUUCUGAUGGUUAUUCUCUCAGAAUUUGUUCAUACCUUUAUCUUGGCUGAUUUUUGUUACUAUUAUCUCAAAAGGUAACUAAUUAGACUUAACUUUUCAAAAUACUCAUCAAUAUCAAUUUUCAGUCUUAAGUCUUAAGUCUUAAGUAGCAGCAGCAUCAUGAUCAGUGAUCACUAAUUGGUUGAGACUUUGUGAUUUGUAGUGUCAUGUAUCAGCAGCUGCUUCUGGAGCUCUCUUCAUCCUCCUAUUCGCUUGGAAGGGGAAAAAACAUUUGAUGUACCCUAUUUUUUUUUGGCUAUAUUCUUUGUUUUUUUUUUCUUUUUUAACUCUGAAUUUACACACCUGGUGGAAUAGGCCGUUGGUUAUCCAAAUUUUUUUCCUUUUUUUUUUCUUUUGAACUUGAUAGAGAGAUUAAAAUGCUUCUUAUACAUAAAUGUUAAGAGACAAUUUUUGCUAUAAGGUAAAGAAAAACUAAUAAUGUGUGGGUCUAAAGUACUUAAAGCUUGUAAAAUUGGCAUCAAGUUCUUAACAUAUUAAUGGACUUUAUACCUUUCAGUAUUGUGAACUAUGUGGUUUAGUGGUUUCAAGGGCCAGGAUUUGACUAUAAGCCUUAUAUAAGUCCUAUCAACCUUUCUACAACCCUUAUAUACUUACAUAUGUCAUUCUAAUAGAUUACACAACAACCUUGAAUCGUAAUGGAGAAUAAGACAAUCUAAAAAAGUCCUAUAUCAAAAUGAAUGGAACAAAAUUGCCAACUUAAAUUACAUAGCAUUAUAUACCAAUAAUCUCUCCUUUUUGCAAUUUUGUGACAAAAUAAAGAUUACAUAAACACUCCAAUACUCUUAAUCAAAGUUUACAAGUCUCUCAAUACCUCUUGUCUCUCGUCUAAACCAAUUCAUUAUGUAAUGUGCAAAAAACCAUCCACUGCAUCCAAAAGUGAGCAAUACUCUAAUACUUGAGACCUAUACACACCAACCAACCACAUAUCCAUGUCAAGCAAAGUGUGGAAAAAUAGCUUAUAAAUUCCAUCCAAUCAUGGUAAAGAGAAAUGGAUGUGAGUAAUGCAUGUAAUGGAUAUUCAUAAAAUUAAUAAAACCAAUGAUGAACCAUCUGCCAUUUUUUUGUCAAAAAAAAAAAAAAGAAGGAAAAAUGAAUAAGAUAAAACAACAAAAGAACGUAAGAGAGAGAGAGAGAGAGAGAGAGAGAGAGAGAGAAAUAGAGACAAUGAAGAAAAAAGAUAUUAAGUACUUGAAAGCUCGAUACUUCAAAUCAAGUGAUAAGAACAAUUUGAAUGCUCCUUUAAAUGUCUGAAACAUUCUAUUUGACAUAAAUAACCCAAAAAAUCACACCCUUAUGCCCCAAAAAUGUUUGGAAAAAUAUUAGAGGUCGACAAAUACAACCCAAGGCUCUAGCAAACCAUAAAAACUUGAGUUGUUAGCAUAAACAAAAAUAAAUCAAGUAAUUAGUUAUACAAUCAAAACCCAAGAUUUCAAGAAUGAAUCAGCAUUGUCUAGAGAAAGUCAUUAAUAAUGAAAUCAACCUUAAAAAAUAUUUUAAUAUGAAACAAAGUAUGGUAGGACUAAAAUAAACUCAAGGCAUUGAUUAUCAAGGGUAUCAACUUAUUGUCUAAAUUACAUAUUUCAAUUUUAAAUUUCGAAAGAUCACUAAAUCAUGCCGAAACUCUAAUUUAUUCAACAUUCGGUCAAUUUGAACAUAGUUCGUCAAAUUUUUGUUUAACAUAGAAAAUGUGAUCUACUUACAACACAAUUUUUUUUCUUUCCUUUAGUUAGAUAUCAUCAAUUUUCUUUUAUUCCUUUUCUUUUUUUUUUCUUUUUUUUUUAAGUGGAGGCAUUGUACAACAUAUAUGGAAGACACACUUUCAUUUAUUGUUGCCUAAUUCCAAUGUGGGGUUGUUUCCAAAUUUUGCAAGUAAUGACAUUAGUUUCUUGAAAAGAAUAUUGAAUUUAUUUUAGCUAAGAUGUCAAACAUCACUUUGGAAAACAAUUUUAAAACUAAGUCAAACAUGAUAUGUGAAUUUAAUUUGAAUAAACAUGGUGUUCGUUACUUCCAAAAGCUCAAAAUCUACUCAAUCAAUUAAAUUUAAGAAGAUUCUCUAUCGCUCAAUUUUAAAAUUUAAAAGUGGCCCAAACCAAUGCUAAGCAAAGGCGCUCAAUCAUAACAUAUCUCAUCUCAUAUCCAGCAUCCUCUUGCUCAAAUAGUAAACAGCUCACUCCUCCCCUUAGUCAUUGAGCUAAGCUAACAUGCAUCCCAAGGCCAUAUUUGAAGCUAAAGAGUAUAGAAGCAGUGGUUAUCCUAGUGUGGGAGGCACUAAAACUAGAGGAGAAAGCAAAUACUCCUUAAUCCUGUCGAAAGCAUGUUGGCAAUCAUCAUUCCAUAUUGUAGGCUAAUUCUUCCUCAAAAAGCAAAACAUAGUGUAGACUCUCCAUUUUGUCCUCCUAGCACAUGUCAUAUUAUGUGUUCGCUUGGUACUUUACAACAAUUCCCUGGUGGCCCAUUACUGUUCAUGUAGUUUAUCUUUUCUAAGCCACCUUGGAGACUUUGGUUGAGGGACUCAUCUGACCCCAUUGUGAUUCUGGGCAGUCUUAAUUUAUACUUAGGUUUUUUCCUUCCUUGUUAGGCCCAUUUAGGUGCAUUUGACCCAUUAGGCACCACCUUAGGCCCACUUAGGCAUCCUAAGUCCAUUUAGAUGCACUUGGCCCAUUAGGCACCACCUUAGGCCCACUUAGGCACCUUAGACCCACCUAGACACAUCUGACCCACCUAGGCACAUCUGAUCCACUUAGGCACUUUCUUGGGUUUAGUUUCACUUAGAUUUGUUUUCUUGUUUUUCUUUAUUUAUUUAUUUUAUUGAUUGAUUUUAGGAUUAAGUGAGUUUUGAUUUAUUUUAUCUUGUUUCAUUAUUAUUAUUAUUUUUAUUUUAUUUAUUUAUUUUAUUUUGUGAUUGCAUGAAAUGAAUUUUUUUAUUUUUGGUGGUUUGAGUUUGACACUUCGAUUAUUAUUAUAUGUUGCAUUAGUUUAAUUUCUUUUGUUAUUAAAUAUAUCUAAUAUCUAUUUAUUUAUUUAUGUAUUAUACCUUUUAUCUAUUUAUUCAUAUUGUCUUAUUUACUUAUUUAAUCACUUCUUCAAAAUUUAGUGAAACCAAUGUUGACUUUUAAUCACUUGAAUUGUUUCGACUUUAGAUAUGCACGAGAUUGCCUAACUAAUUUUUAAUUGAAUAAUCUUGUUCUUUUUAUCCUCUUUUAUUUUAUUUAUCUUCAAUCUCAUAAUUUUAUUUCCUUUCUUUCUUUCUUUUUAUUUUUAUUUUGCAUGAGGAAAUGGGCUGUCAUCUAUUUGGAAGGAGGAUCACCAAAAUUUUCGAGAAAGGAAAGUGGUUAUGCAUUGGAGAAUUUAUGGGAAGUAAGGGCUACCAUGAUUUUGGAGAAUUGUGAUUUAUGUGCAGUUUUGAAGUUUACAAACGGUUGGUUUUAAGGGUACAGUUGGUGUCAUCAUAAGCUCUCAUGAGUUGCCUUUACCAUAUCAUAUUAAAGCUUCUUUUGGGUUGUUUUUGUGACUAUUUUUUGGUACACUAAUGGACCACACAUGGGCUGAAUCUGGGCGCUUUUGUAGGCUGAAUUUUUAAUAAGGAAAUAGCGUGGUUGUAUGAGAUAUUUUUUGGAGGACAGAAUCAUGCAUUCCAUAUAUUGGCAACCACACUUUUCAUACUAGAAAAAUCCAUGCACCAUUGCGACUGGGGAAGCCACACACUUUUCAAAUAAAAAGAAGGCAACUUGCACAUGUAUAAAAAGAAUACACGGACCUUUGAAAGGAAAAUUACCAAAGUUGUUUUGGUAGAGGAAAAGGAAAGGUUCACUGUGUAUUUGGACGGACUGAAGGCUAUGUUUAGGAAGAAGGGUUCUGAUCAUGCUAGACUAACGCGGAUGAUUGAGGCUCUCCCCGGGCUGGUAAGUGAUAUUUCCAUGUUGGUAAAGUCAAUGGGAAGGAGUGUAGAGGUGCAUAGGGAUGGAAUGUGGGCUAUGUGCAGAGAAGGGAGAGUUCUGAUCAUGCUGGACUGAAGCGGGUGAUUGAGGCUUUCUUCGGGAGUUAGCUUCCCAUGUUGGUAGAAAACGGGAAAAGGAAGAAAAUGAGGAGUAGAGGGGACACGAGGAGCGGUAGAAAAAAGGGAAGUGGAGGUGUAGCGGUACCAUUGAGAAAAAAAUUUCAGCACGUGAAGAGGGCUUUGAAAGUUUGGUUUUCUGGGAGAGGUGGCACAAUUUGUAGCAGAAAAACGGGAAGUGGAGGUGCAGCCGCACCUUAGAAAAGAAAAUGUACAACCGCAUCUUAGAAAAGAAAAGGUGCAGCCGCACCAUUCUGAAGAAAAUGAGAGAUAGCGGGCUGGUGAUGAACAGGACACUGGUUUUGGAGGAUAGGUGGGUUCCAACUCAGUCGCACCAUUGAAGCUUCGGGGAAAGCAUGACUGCCUUUGAUACCACGCACCAUUCGGAUUGUUUUGGAGCAUGCAUUACCGGUUGAUUUUUUAUUCAUCCUAUCAUCCACACAGCUGCCACUUUGAGAAGCAUACAGUUCACACACCUAGCCGGCUAGGUAAGCUACUCCUUUUAUAUAGGCUUUCUUAAGUUUGGUUUCAUUUCUAUUUGGAUUCAUUAUGUUGAGUUGAGGGGCUUUGAUUUUUUUUAACUAGUUUCAGUUUAGAUUUGUUUUAUCAAGCAAUGGCAGCCAAAAGAUGGAAGCCAUCAUUUGAAAGGGAAGGUUUCCAGGUUGAAGCUAAUGACGUUAAAGUUGGAAAGAGAACAAGGGUUUAGAUCUUAACGUGGGUCUUGAAACGUAAGACAGUUCCGUUUAGACAAUCAGAAACCAGUAGACACUCUAAACAUGUACGGUAGUAACAGGAAGAUGACUUUAUGGGUAAUGGUCUUGGAAUAUAGGAUGUCUUGCAUUAUCGUGAGUUGAUGUUAAUCAGUUUUAUCAAUGUUUUCUUUCUAGGACCUGACCCAAUUCUGUUUGACUGAGGGUUGAUCCAAUUUCAGCCGGAUUUCUUCUAGGAACUCUAUAUUGUCAACAAUUAGGCUUAACGUGAUUGUAUUGUCCGUCAUACUUCUAAAAAAGGUAUAAGAACCUUAAACCCAGGAAAUAUUUGGUCGGUAUACACAUCCUAAUCACCAACUAACAACCAGAAUAUGUACUAAGAUCAUUACGAUAAGCUGAAGUGGGAUUUUCUUGUCACUGAUCCAUGGCCACAAAAUAAGAACAUGCGUUCAUCUUUGAAAUCAAAUGAAUUUCAAGAAUACUACUGUGAUUUGACUUGUUACUGAUUCAUCUCCACAAAAUGGAUGGUAAUCUCUAUGGCUCUUCAAAUGACACGUGCUCCCUAAUCCCAAUUCCCUUUUGGUUGCAUAUACCUGACUUCUUCUUAGUGGAACCAUCAUCCUCUUUGCUGUCUAGGAUAGGGGGUACUUCAUGGGAUCCACUAAAAUUCCUCUUCAAUUCUUUGAUAACAUCAAAAUUCCAACUGCCCAUUGUGAGUUUAGUGUUGAUUUUAUAAAUCUGAAUUUUAUACCUUGUGAGGACAUUUUCCUAACGCAAUAGCAUAGCCUUUUGGGAGGACAAUUCUAGUGGUGCAAAAAUUUUCAAAAUUUUUUUUUUCCUUGCUGCCAGUUUUCAUUCAACCACUAACCCUUUAGUGUUAAAAUUCGUUACAAAAACUUUAGAAUAUUUUUAAAAAAUUUCCAAAGCUUGUAUGACUUUCUUCACUCCUUGAACUUGAAUUUAAAGUUUUGUUUGAGUUAGAAAACGAUUUUAGAACAGAAAAUAUAAAUGAGUCUUUAGGGGGGCUCUGUUUUCACCCAGUUCUGGACACCCGAGAUCUUUUUACAAAACUAAAAUAACAGACGACUUUAUGAAUUUGAUUUGAUAUUUUUUCUUAAUUAUAGGCUUUUUUGAGGGAGAUAUGAUUUCUCAAAAUCAUACCUACUGCACAUGUUGGAUUCUUGAUAUCUGAUUAGCUUAAGUGUUUUAAAAAAUAUUUUUGAGUACUAUCCGACCCUGGAUUCAUUUUUUAUGUGAUAUAGACACUUUGAAAUAUGUGUGUGAUUUUUUGUAUGAUUUUAUGUGAUCAUUUAUUAUUUUUUAAAAUUUGUUUAUGCAUGUCAGUCUUUCUUAUUUAAUCUGGACUUUGUAGAACCUUUAGGUGUCUUUGCUACAAUAUGUCCUUUGAAUGAGUGUUUUGGCCUUCAGUAUGUUGAUCUAGAUAUGUAGGAGUUGUUUCCUGAAAUUUUUCUUAAUUAAAUUCCACUCUAAGCCAUUUUUAGAAAUUGUUUUUUUUAUGCCCCCUUUUAUAAUUGCAUGCUGAUGAUCUUGUACAUUGCUUGAAUUGGUUAUUUAUUUUUGGAGUCAUUUGACUUACCUUGGCUCAAUUUUGGCUUUGGUACUGUGUAUUAGACACAAUGAAUAUGUUAUAUAACUCAUACUUGUCCUAAUCACUCUAUCAUUUUUGGAGGAAUCUUAUAAAUUAUGCAUGCUAUCCAGGAAUGCUCUGUAUCACUUACUUUUCGAAAUUUUAUGAACAUGAAUGUUAUUGUGAGUCUUAUUUAUGCUUUAUGCGAUCCUUGUGUGCUUAAAUGUAUGCUUGAUUUGCUUGGAUAAAACACAUGUUGUGUGCUAUAUUUUCAAACUAACCAUUGAUGUUUUAUGAUAGCGCUUAAGAAGUAGUUCAGGUACCCACCUUAAAUCUUCUUUAUGAUUUGUGAUUGGUUUUUCUUGUUUGGUAUGUUAUUGUUUAAAUCACCUAGCCUACGUAGGUAUCCAUGAUCAAAUAAUUAAUUGUCACAUUUCUCUCAACUUAGUCAAUAAAGACCUCUGUAGGGCUUAGAGGGGUGCUACCUUUUAGAGGUGCAUUCCCAAUAGGUAAUCUGAUCCCCGAACCUAAACUCGGGUUUUUCAAAGACACGUUUUUUCAAAAACUAUGGAGUCACUUCUUUAGGGUUUUCUUUCUUAUUUUAUUUUCCUUUUUAAAAUAAAAUAAAAUAAGUGGCGACUCCAACUUUUCCAAAACAAUUUUUUCACCAAUAAAAGCGAGUCUCACCGAUUGAGUGGGGACGUACAUGAAAAAUGCGGGUCCACGGCUCAUAUAUGUCUAUCAAUCUGGCUAUGAAAUGACUGAUAUACUAUAAUCUACCUAAAGAAUCCUUGAUCCCCCACUCAAUCCUCGAUGCAAGCAUGUCAACUAUGGCUCUGAUCUUAUCUGGAUCUACCUCUAUACCUCGCUCACUAACAAUAUGCCCUAACAAUUUCCUAGAAGUAACUCCAAAGGUGCACAUCUUGGGGUGUCUCAAUCUAAACUUCCAGAUUCUCUCAAAGAAUCUCCUUAAAGUUGUUAGGUGAUUUGCUUUGUCUCGGGAUUUCAUAAUCAUAUCAUCAAUGUACACCUCAACAUCCCUAUGCAUCAUAUCAUGAAACAAGAUAGUGGCAGUCCUUUGAUAAGUAGCUCCUGUGUUCUUUAAUUCAAAUGGCAUAACUCUAUGAUAAUAAAUACCCUACUCAGUAAUGAAGACAGUCUUCUCCAUAUCCUCUAGAUCCAUCAAAAUUUGAUUAUACCCAAAAAACUCAUCCAUGAAAGACAAUAUCGAAUGACUUGCAAUGCUAUCAACCAAUGUAUUAAUAUGCAGGAGGGGAAAGUCAUCUUAAGGACUAGACUUGUUAAGAUUCCUGAAAUCAACACAAACCUUGAACUUGUCAUCCUUUUUAGGAACAAGGGCGACAUUAGCCAACCACUCAAGAUACUCAACCACUGAUAUAAAACCAACACCGUGUUGUUUUUUAAUCUCCUAUAUCACUUGCAAGCUCCAAUGAGGGUGUAACCGCCUUAACUUCUACUUAACUAGUUUGGCAUGUGGCAAAAUAGAUAGGUGAUGUUGAACUAUAGAGGCAUCAAGGUCAAACAUGUCCUCAUAAGACCAUGCAAAGACAUCCAAGUAUGACUUGAGUAAAUGAAUGAGUUUAUCUCUCUUAUCUGUGGAUAAGGGUGAACUAAUCUUCAACUCUCUAGGUUGAUCCUCUAUACCAAAAUCAACAAUCUCAACAUCCCCCAUAGCAGAUGAAACUCUCUCAAAUAUGGGGUCCGAAUCAUGGUUAAAAGAACCUCCAUUUGAAUCAUGUUAUGUAAUCUCAUCGUCUAUAUCAAAUAUUUGUGAUGUGGGUGAAUGGGGUGUAGAUAAAGAGACAUCAUCACAAGAGAUAGAUGAAUACUCGAAUAUACUCAAAUUGAUAAAUGAAGCAUUAGAAACAUGUCAAAGAGAGAAACAAAUCCCAAUAAAAUGUCAAAUGAAAUAUGUGGGUCUACAAAGUAGAACGCUCCCUCAAUGGGGCUAAAAAAUGCCCUUAAAUAAAUUAGUAUCAACCAUAACAUCCUCUGAAAGCUUUGGAAUAGGAGCAAUUUGGAUCUCCUCAGCAGCCUCAAUGGCGGAUACCCCAAAUAGAUCAAACGGUGAAGUAGGCUUAGACUAAAUAACGCUGGUAAUUUGACUCAUACCCAUCAUAUCCAUAUCCAUCUCAUCUCAGUACUCGUCAUAAGGAAUAACUCUAUCAAUCACCUCAAUAGGCUCCACGGCUACUCCAUCAUCAGUAAUUUCCUUAAGGAAUCAUAAUGAUAAUAAACUAGCUUAGUUUAGAGACAAAGGUGCAAUCACCAUAGAAAUAGACGUUCUAGGUGUCCCUUCACCCAACUGUAAUUGAUGAAAUAGAUGUCGAAGCUCAAUCUCUCUAUCUAUACCAACCCUAUUGCCAAUUUUCUAUAAACGAGGCUGAAUCUCUAAUUCUUUGACAAAGUAGUCGGUCAAACUUAUCCUGUAGGGGCGAACAGGAUAAUCAAAUGGCAUGUUAGACAAUCAGGCCUUACUUUCUCCUUACCCAGUUACGCCAUAUACUGGUAAUCAACCUCGAUAGGAAUGUACCUAAGCCUAAAUGGUGUAUCAUAAUUGAUGGCAUCUACAAACUCAUUAGGCCCAUGCUGACAUCGUCCUAAUCCCAGGCUAGGUAGGAAAGACAUACCUUUCAUAAUGUUGAGCUCUUUUGUUGGUCAAAUGACAUAGCUACAAAGUCUUUGUAGAAAUCCUCAAUCUCAAUAGUCUGAAUCUCAUCAAAUGUAAACUUAGUAAAAAAUAGAUCAUCAUCACCAUGACUGAACUAAAGCACCAACUCGAAAGAGGAAAUCAUGUCUUUAGGGGACUGCAUCAUGAUGACUUGUCUAUCAUGUAUGAACUUCACCUAUUGAUAAAGGGAAGAAAGAAUAGCUUUGGCUAUAUGAAUCCAUGGCCAACCCAACAAUAGGUUAAAUGUUGUAGGAAUCUUUAAAAUCUUAAACAGAGUCAAGAAUGUGGUCAGACCAAUCAACAAAUCAAUCAUCAAAGUGCCCAUAAUUUCCCUCUUAAUGUUGUCAUACGUUCUGACUAUCUGAGUAGAAUGACCAAAAUUUGAAGGUGCAAAUCCAAGGGUCAAUGUAGUGUCUAGGGGGCAAACGUUCAGGGUCGAGUCAUUGUCCACAAGACAUAUAAGACUCUAUGGCUUCAAAAACCAAUUGAGAUGUAAAGAAGGCAUGUAAUGUCUAAACCCUCAUGUGGCAAGUCAUUAUUUGAAAACAUAAUGCAAGCGGUUAUAUCAGUCAUCAUCAUAUGGAUAAACCCCUUAGGAGUAUUAAUAGUUUCCCCUUUGAUCUUACUGAAAGCUCGUAUCAACGCAUCUCUAUGAGUAUUGGAAGAUACCAAUGGACUCUAAAGGGAUAUACGGGCUUAGGUGCUCUGUAAUUGUCUCAAAACCUUGUUAUCAUCUCUCCUAACCUCCUCAUGAGAGGCUACACCCUCAAAUGACCUAGUCACUAUAGGUAGGGGUAGAGCUACUCUCCCACUAUGGGUCACAAUCUAUAUCUCUCUAUCCUUAGAAUAUAUCAUCUAGCCAUAAAAUAAAUGGAAUAGAUGUACCUUGAUGUCCAGUAACCAAUGGUGUAAAAGGAAUCAACAGAAACAAUGUCUCAUCUAAAAUCAAACCAAAUGGUGUAGAAACCUGAGGACCUAAUGUAACUCCAUCAACCUCAUAACUAUCAUCCAAAAUGAUUGGGUCAGGAAAUCCGUCAUCCUAACUCAACAUAUGUAUAUUGUUAUCCUCUACAAAGUCUAUGUGAUGGAUAUCACUUGGAGGUGAAAGCACUACAUGUGUAGAGUAGGCAAGAAGGGGAUUAGUGGUUACACUUGGCUACCCAAGUGAACCAAACCUUGGUUUAUCAAAUCUUAAAUAGUAUGUCUCAGAUUGGUACAAUGGUCUGUAUCAUGCCCUAAACCUUGAUGAUAAGAACAAUGCAAGUCUAAUCUAAAGUGAGAUGGCACUGGUUGAGGUAUUGGCUUGGGUGCCAAUAGAGUCAAUAAUCCACCCUCCACGAGCUUCUGAAAAGCUCAACUCAAAGGUAUACCCAACUACGAAAACUAUCGUAUCGACCUCGACACUAGAGGAAUAGUGAUAUGUGGAGCUCUAGGUCGAGGGUAUAAGGUAGGGGGCCUCUUUGUCACUUAAGCAACAAAAAUGAGUUAUGAGACUAAGUGCAGAUAUGUAAGAGUCAUGGGUCGAGCGGGAUUUGGAGGUCUAUAUUUAGCAGUAUAGGCCACGAGCACCUCCUCAGCCAUAUGACCAGGCUUACUUGUCUCCCAUACUAACAUUGUCUUGUUACGCCACACAGGGUGCAGAGAGACCUCCGACUUCAUAUCUUACCCCAGUACAACCAUGCUAUGUAGCACAGGUUGUAGUGAGACCUCCAACUUUAUACCCUAGACCUAGGGCUCCACAGGCUUCUGUUCCAUCUACCCUAAGGACAUAGAGACAAUUUUCACACUUAGGUAUGUCGUUGAGCUAGACUCUUCGAAAGCUCACAAAUGUUGGAUUAUUGAUACUUCUUACUCCCAGGCCAUUGUCUCAGCCAGUUCUGCCACAAUUUCGGGUGGAUCUAUAUCGUGCAUGUCAUCAGAGGCAAGACAUGAGACCGAUUAUUGUACUGCUUUGAGGCGCACCAUCCAGGACUUGAUAGAUCAGGGUUUGGUUCACUUAGGUCAGCCAAGUGUAACCACUAAUCCUCUACCAGCUCAUACUUCACAUGCAGUCCCUCCGUCGGCCGACAACAUACAUUUCAUGGAUUUCACUGAGCCAGUUGAUCGCAUUCACAUGUUGAGUUGGGAAGAUUUUGAGCCAGAGCCUAUAGUAGUGGAUGAGAGCUAUGAGGUUGAUGGAGUGAUCUUAGACCCACAGGCAUCCACACCAUUUAGACUGGUUCCUAACACACCACUAGUGCAGUUGACUACGGUUGGGCCGUUGAUUCACCAGUGUUAUAGCAUUCAGUAUCCGUUUAUAUUGAGUCGAGAUCCUGAUGAGAUGGUUACUCAGGAUGUUUAGUAUGUCAUCUGUGGGGACAAGGUGGUACGACAGUAGCCUCCCACAGUUGCCUGACCUUUAGAGAGUGAUGUCACUCGAAAGGAGACCAGAUGAUUCGUGCCCAGCUGGUGUAUGUCCUGUUGACUGGUGUUCAAUCAACUGGUGUACUCUGAUUUUCUAUCCUCAGACAGGAGUAAUCAACAAAAUUUAUAAACCUAUUUCACCAUAUACUAGGGUAGCAUUAGCUAGUAUAGCAUAGUGGCUCUAGGAUCGUCCACAGGGAUAGGUUUUCAAAUUACAACUAAUAUCAGUUCAAAAACUGAAUUGAUGUCUUUUCUUUUCAAGGUUAGCUUUAAAAGAAAACAUAAAUAUGUUUGAAAAGGUUGGUUUUAAGUGAAACAAAAAUAAAGUAAUUGAAAUUACUUACAAAGAAAAGUGCUUCUUAGAGUUUUAGAUCACUAGGCUCAGGUUCCUUAUACAAAAGGGAGAUUCCGGUCACUUGGAUCUUUUCCUCGCAUUGGGGAUUUAACAUAUAGUUAUUUCCCGAACUAGUGUGGUACAGAUGCUUCCCCUUAAUGGUUUCAAACACUAAAUCCCUGUCACUGAAUCAUCUUGCAAUGGUUCAUACCUCUCACCUAGUAUUGGCCAUUCAGGGUGAUCCUUAACCUUGGAUUACCCGUCAAAAGCUCGCAAGAGAUAACUAAUGGAUGUUUCCUGGGAGUCUAAAAGCUUACCAAGUGUUGGCUAUUCUAGAUAAUCCUACCUUUAAACCACCUCCUAGAGGCUCGCAAGAGAUAAACUAGUGUAUCUCAAUGGACGGAGAUUACUUGCCUUACCAAGUGUUGGCCCAGGUGAUUUUAAGGGAUUUUAAGUUAACUAAAAAGAUAAAAACCAUUAACAGGUCACACUUUCUUUUCAUUAAAAAGUAAAACAAUAAAACUUGCAAUUUUUGUAUUCAGAACUUUACCUAGCUUCCUUAACUCCAAGAAACAAAAAGCCUAGCCACUCAUCCUCUAGGAAAACAUCCCCAGAGUUUGAUUUGCUAGAAAUAAAAAUAACGUGAAAACAAAAUGAGAAGGUAAGGCAGAGCAAAGCUCUGUGUAUUACUUUCUGAAAAACUAUACAAAAAAGUCGUCUCUGAGAAAAAAAACUCCCAAUCUCUCUUAAAAGAAAAUUACAAUAGAUAUUAUAGAGAGAGGUUAUUCACACCUCCUGCUAACUUCCCAACCAAAAAAACUUGUCAUUGGUGGGUUACAAGGAGAAAAUAGGGAUUUACACACAAAUAUCUGAAGAUAAAUAUCAAACGGAGUCGGUGCGCAAAUAUCUCAAAUUACAAGUGGAUUUCGCAAGUUCAAAUGGAACUUGCGAAAAUUUCGCAAGUUGAAAUUAUGAUUACUACCAAAAAGUGCUAUUUUGUAGACCUAAUUAUAAUGGUUUUAAGCACCUUUGAGUAGUAAUCAUAUUCAUUUAACCCAAUUGACAUGUUAAGGACCCUUGCAAUCGUUUCUAAUCAAAUUGUGUUAAGUUUUGGUGUUUUUGAUAGCUUUUAGCUACACCAAAGCAAUCCAAGAAUGAGGGAGAGCUGUAUAUAGUUCAUGGCAAAGCUUUUGGAAGCUCAAAUUCAUGAAGAACCAAGCUUUGGAGCUCCAUAGCCCUUUGCCAAAGUCGUUCAAAGUAUGCAAGGAAAGAACAAUGGAGAAGAGGAAAACAGAGUGAAGAAAACAGAGGACAGCAGCUGCAGUAUUAUUUUGCACUUUUGGAGCACUUCCUGAAGUCUAUUUUCUAGAUGCUAUAUACCAUUUCAAAUCUCAGAAAGUCAAGAAUCCAACGCUUCAAACCGUGUAUGAUUUGGAGCUGAAAUGAGGAAGAUAUGGCCUUCGGAAGACAACUGCAUCAAGCCAUGGGAACAUCAUUUCGCAAGGAGAUUUUCUUCAUGGUGCGAAAUUUGGCCAUUUCGCACCAUGAAGAACCACCUUGCGAAAUUUGGACCCCUCAUAUUUCCCCUUUGCGAAAAUGCCUUUUAAAUCCCCUGUUUUGAGACACUAUUGAUGAUAUUCCACUGCCGGUUCUCCAAGAUAUUUUGCUUGAUUUUUAGCUUUGUAAAUACCUAUUUUACCCUUGUAAUCAACCAAUGAAUAGGUUGCUUUUGUAAUAGCUCUUGUAAUUUAGCUUGUUAUUGUCUUUAAAUAGAGGUGAAGAGCCUCAGACAAAGGGAUCUUGUAACCUGUAACUUUAUAAAUUAUAAGAGCACUUUUGUUCAUACGCUUCUUUUCUAUUUUCUUUCUCAUUUUCUUAGUAGCCAAACAUCCUUGGAGGAUGAAAUCCCCAAGGAUGAGAGGCUAAAACUUUUAGUUUCUCAAAGUAUGGAUGUUAUGUGAUGGCUUGGAUGCAAUCCCAUGGAAAUUUCUCGCACCUGGAAGGUAAGGUAGUCGUUUUUCAUUAAUGGUUCAUUAAUGCAAAGUUUGGUUUUUAUUUCCUUUGGACAACUUCCAACGGCCAAUACUUGAUAAGCUUUUGGAUUUCUAUCCAUUAGUUAUCUCCUACGAGCUAUUGGAAGGUGAGGUUUUCAAUUCCAAGUUUUGCAUUAAUCCGUUAGAACCAAUUUCAAUGGUCAUUGAAAGGUGAGUUUAUCACCUGGAAUGACUUUGAGUUGCCAAUAUUUGGUAAGCUUUUGGCUUUAGACCAUUAGUUAUCUCUUACGAGCCAUUCAAAGGAAGUCUAAGGUGAAUAACCAUUAAUGAAAUUCACUACCAUCUGUUUUGCCAUUUUAAAGGAUUAAAACUUGAUUUGCUAAAUCCAUACCGGUUUGGGAAGCAAGCAUCACCAUAGUUACAACCCCAACGCGAGGAGCCUAUCCUGAGAUUUCCAAUUUGCAUAAGAGCCAGAGCAUAGCUAUCCUAUCUUUGAGAAACUUGUUAUUACACCCUUUCAUUUUAGUCUUUAAUGUUAGCUUAGAUUAGUUUAAAUCUUUCUAAAACAUUUACAUCUUCUUUUAAAGCUAACAUCCAUAAGAAAAUCACCUAUUUUCCUAAUUUGAAUAUCACUUGUGUUUGCGAAAACCCUUCCCAGUGAACAAUCCUAGAACCACUAUGCUAUAGUAGCUUGGCUACUUUAGUAAUAGUAUUUAAGGUAUAAAUUUUGUUGAUACGCCUUUAAAGCUAAGCUACCAUGAGUUGUAUCAAAUUAUCCAUUUUGCAAGUUGCGAAAUUGUCCUGCAACUUAUCAGUUCUCUGUCCUGUAGCGAUUCAUUUCCUCUUCCUAUUUCACAAGUUGGAUUCCACAACUUGCGAAAUUGCUGGAUGGUUGAUUUCUUCUGUGUUUUUCUUCCUUGCAUCCCCAUUUGGCUUUGGCAAAGGGUUAUGAAGCUCCAAAGCUUAGUUUCUUCAUGAAUUUGAGCUUCAACUUGGUUUGCCAUGAACUAUACAAAGAUUUUCCUCAUUCUUGGAUUACUUUGGUGAUAAAAAAGCUAUCAAAAAUACCAAAACUUAACACAAUUUGAUUAGAAACGAUUGCAAGGGUCCUUAACAUGCCAAUUGAGUUAAAAGGUAAUAACUACUACUCAAAAUUGUUUAGAAGAGUUAAUUACAAGCUAUAAAAUAGCACUUUUUGAGUAGUAAUCACUCCCCCUAACCGACAUAUUGCAAGUCCCUUAGCAAUGAAGGAGAGAAAAAAAAAUAAACAGUACUAUAAUUUACAACAUCAUGUUGAUCACUCCAAAAAGUUUUAAGUGGCAUGAUGAUCAAACUCUCACAUGGGACAUUAAAGAUAUAAAACUCAAACUUCAGCCUAAUCAUGAUUCAUAAAGAGAAGGCAUUAUGCAAAUUUAAGCUUUAAAAGAAUUUCCACUCCUAAAAGGUCAAUCCUUACUCUUCCACAAAAAACUAAGUGUUACUUAUUAGUUUUCGAAUAUAGUAUGUUGAACUAAUCUUUCCCCCCAACCUAGUUCUUUUUCAAAACUUAGCAAACUGAAAACCUCCAAUAAGCUAAGAACGCACCUCAUUUAUUUCACACAUUUUUUUUUUCUUGUAGGAGUACAAAGCUUAAAGGUAUUCUUUUCUAAAUUGUCCAUGUAACGAGGGUCCAUCGAUGACUCCCAACCAAUUAAGGUUUAGGGCAUCAAGCUUCAAGGAUAUUUCGACCACUAACUCUUCGGAUUUUACCCUGGACUUUUGAGAUUGGAAUUCAAUACCCAAGCACCUACAAUAUGUUAAACUCCACCUAUUCACCCUUGUAACGAGCAUUGAGGUCGGCGACUCCCAACCAAUGAAGGCUCAGGGCACCAGGUUUUAAAGAUUUUCACCAUAUACCCCUCAGACCUUGCUCGGGUUUCAAGGCAAGUAUACAUCAAAGGCUCAUUGGCUUUUUCUAAGGUGUCCCAAUACUAUUCAAAUGAGGUCAAAGGUACUAAGUCUAAAAUUUCCUAAGUCAAGGGGUGAAAUAGUUUUUCAUCUUAUAAUCGGAACCUAGUGUGCACAGUGUGUGGUAAGCUUAAAGUGGACGAAAUAAGGUUGAAUUCAAUAGAAGUUUCAACAAUUCAUAAACUUUAAUAAGCAUAAUACAAACUCUAAGUCAAGUAAAAAGACAAAAAUUCAAUUUCUCCCAUUUCAUUUUGAGAAUUUUUCUUUGAUAAUCAUGAAGAGUAUUCAAAAAAAUUUUAUUUUUCUUUUAAAUUUAAACAAAAAGUAACUAAAUUACCAUUUAUAACCUAGCAUUAUAAACAAUACUUCCUUCCUCAACUCCCCUCAACCAUGCUGAACAUUGUCCUCAAUGUUUGAAGAGCAAUUGAAAAGAAAGGGAGGAAGUAGUACCUCCUAAGUGGAAUAGGGUCUGAAUUGUAUAGGAGAAACCACAUGAUUCAAAAAACAAUAAAAAAUAAGUAGAAGAAAUAAAUUAAAAAUAUGCCAAGUAUACUAAAAAAUGAUGGAUAUGUAUUACUUUAAGAGAGUACAAUAUGAAAUAUGCACAAGUAAUACAUCCAAUCCCAAUAUAUAAAACAUCAAAAACAUGGGAUUAAGAGUUCUACUAUAAUAAGUAAAUACAAAAAGUAGAUAGAUGAUAAGGUAGUGGUGGGAGGGUCAUGUGGAGAUGAUAGCUCUGCUGUGGUCUCCUGAGUACUCUGGAUCGGAGUCUCGAUCUCUGUUGUAGUAGUCUCCUCAUGGGGCAUAGUCUGCUUUGCCGGAGUAGCCUCCUGAGAUGGAAUAGCUUGCUCAGCUGGAGUAGCCUCCUCAGAUGGAGCUGUAGGCUCUGAUGGGCCAGGCGUAUCAUGCUUAGGUGGUGGCAAAAUACCCAAAUGCUGUUGUAUCUGCCUAAGGAUGGUAGUAUGCUGGGUCUGCGUGGCGAUAAGUUGAUCUUGACGUGCAUGUAUGACUGCCAUCUGCUGGAAGAGAGCACCUUGAGUAGUGCUCAAUGUCUGCAAUGUAUGACAUAGGCCUUUAAACUCUGAACUGGAUAUGGUGAUAGAGGACUCAAAUGGAGGAGGUGCUGAUGUAGUUGGUAUAACUGGUGGAGCUUCAGGAGUGGUAGGAAGAGCAGAAGAUGUAGCCUUGGGCAUGGGCACUGUAGAAAGUACUGCAUGGGCAGGUGGUAUGAUCCUUGUUGUGCCUGUGGUGGCUACUCAUCCUGAGGUAACUCUGGAGGUGUUGGCAUAUCUGGGGCUCCUGGAGGUGCAACAUAGGCCGUCAAAUGAUUCCAUUUUUUGAGAGUGAAUAGCUCUCGGCAAAUGCGGCGGUGCUCAAGCUGAGGCUCCGAAGGAUAUACCAAAUGCUCUAAUAUCUGACAGAGCAGCCUAGGAAAAGUAAUGGAAUGGCAUCUACUCUUUGGAGUUUCUUCUUGUGGACCUUCUCUUCAAAGUAGAGAAGAGAGGUCAUAAUCAAAUGAUGAGGGCCAAAGUAAAAACCCUCUGAAAUUUGGAAUAAAGUCUCCAAUAUAGCUCCUCUCCUCUGCACCAUAUGCUGAAGUGGAAAUAUGUUGGAGCACAACAUCACAUCUAGAAGAAAUAUCCCAGGUGGAAGCUCCUUCCUAAGAAGAAAUGAGUGUGUAGAGGUCCCCCUAGACAAUAUACGAACCAUGUCUCUCUGAGAAAACUGGGGCCACUCUCUGAAAUCUGUUGGACUCACAGGCUCAUAUGGAAUAUGAAGGGCCUCUACAAUGUGUCUAGCUCCAAUGAUACCAUGGCGUCCAUUAAUAGUGAAGUGGAUGACAGUAGGAUCCUGAACACAACGAGCAGUCAUAGAGUGAUAAAAGUCUAGUGCUACUCUGGGAUAGAAGAAAUCCUUAAGAGUCAUCGGAUGCUCCAAAUGGUAUCUCUGCAGUAAGUGGAAUGAAUCUCUGAACUCCGGCUGUUAUUUGAAAGUCUCCAUAUCAAAGCAUAGCUCGGAGUGGAAUGACUUGGCUUGGCAAUCCAAAUUUCCCUCUAUAGGUGGUUGUGUAACCAUAGGUCGCCUGAUAAUCACUUUUGGAGUCAUCCCAACAGGAAUCUGAGACUCUAUAGCAGCUGACUGAGGCUGUGGAGGUGCAGAUGACUCUCCUGGGCCUAAAACUCUGGCUUUCUUUAUAGGAGGGCAACGAACUGAUUUCUUAGGGCGUGAAGUGCUUGCCCCAGGUGUAGUGGGUGGUCUCCUCGUCUCGUGCCUACAUUGAGGAGGGUUAGAUGGCACUCCACCCUCAAAAGGUGGAAUGUCAGAGGCUUGUGGGGCCUCAACUAUGGAAUCCCGCGUAGGUGAAGCUCUGGGCCUUGGAUUACGAGCUAAUGGAUACGCGGCGUGGGCUCCUCUUGUCUUGGCCAUGGCUAAAAUGGAGAGGCUUGUGUACCUUAGGGUGCGCGGAGUGGUUCUUCUUCAGACGCAUGACCUCUAAGCUUCCAACUCUGGAAUUUGGGGGGUUUCGCAACUUGAAAGGGUUGUGUGAUAAUGAAAAUGGAAAAAAUCAGAGGUUUAAAUAGGAAUUUAAAUGUUGGUUGGCAUUCUCGCAAGUUGGUUUGCAAGUUGCCCCAUUUCGCAAGUUGAUUCGCAGGCUGUGAAACUUGAAAUUGAACUUGCAAAAUGACACACUUGUGCUUGGAGAUGCUUUCACAAGCUACGAAAAUUUUCGCAAGUUGAAUAGUGGACUUGCGAAUUUAAGCUUUGAGGAUUUCGCAAGUUAUACCCUAUUUUCGCAAGUUGGAAUUUCAACUUGCGAAAUUUUCACAAGUUGAACUAUUACUUUGUUUUUCAGGCUUUUUCUCCUUCUUUGAUUCUUUAAGGCUUUCCUCCAAUUCCUUUGAAGUUCCUCCUAAUUUUGAUCAUCCAAAAAGUCUAAGUUAGAUAAAAAAUAAAUAAAUUAAAGUUAUAAUUAAAAUUAAAACAAAUAAUAAAGCUUUUAAAUCAACAAAAAACAUGGACUUUGGUUAGUCUUCAGAAAGACUAAGUCCAUCUACUCCUUUUUGGUUAAGAUUGUUGUGGCUCAAGGAGACUGACUUCCUCCUUGUCUUGAUUGAAAGGCUUCAUGAAUGGCUUGAGAUAGUGGCCAUUGACUUUGAAAGUGUAUGUGCUGUUGGAAUUGAGUAGUUCCACUACUCCAUUGGAAUGCACUUGGUGAAUAAUGAAAGGACUUGUCCACCAUGAUUUUAGCUUUCUUAGAAAAAUGUGGAGCCUAGAGUCAUAGAGUAAGACUCUUUAUCCCUUUUGAAAUUCUUUGUUGGAGAUUAACUGAUCAUGCCACCUCUUCAUCCUCUGUUUUUCAAUUUUUGAAUUGAUGUAGGCAUCAUUUCUCAAUUCCUCCAUCUCAUUAAAGUCUAAGCACCUCUUCAUCCCGGCUCUAUUCAAGUCCAUGUUUACUUUCUUAAUUGCCCACCAAGCCUUGUAUUCAACUUCCACAGGGAGAUGGCAUGCUUUUCCAUAGACUAGGCAAUAAGGAGACACGCUAAGAAUAGUCUUGUAAGUUGUUCUGUAUGCCCAUAAUGAAUCAUGGAGCUUAACAGACCAGUCUCUUCUGCUCGUGUUCACCACUUUCAUCAAUAUAUUCUUGAUUUCCCUGUUUGUUAACUCAACUUGCCCAGAAGUCUGAGAGUGGUAAGGUGUAGCUACCUUGUGCUUCACCUCAUACUUGGCUAAGAGAGUUUCAAAAGGCUUGUUGCAAAAAUGAGUACCUUCAUCACUGAUUAUGGCCUUGGGCACCCCAAAUCUUGAGAAGAUGUUCUCUUUGAGAAACUUGAGAACAACUCUAUGGUCAUUGUGUUUACACAGGAUUGCUUCAACCCAUUUAGAAACAUAGUCUACCCCCACCAAAAUGUAAGAGUUACCAAAAGACAUAAGGAAAGGUCUCAUGAAUUCAAUGCCCCAAACAUCGAAAAGAUCAACUAUUAAAAUGGGGUUCAUAGGCAUUUGGUUCCUACGUGUUAACUUCCCAAGUCUUUAACAUCUAUCACAACUCCUGCACAUGGUGUGAGCAUCUUUGAAAGUGAUGGACAACUAAAACCUGAUUGUAACACCUUCAUGGCUGUUUUCUGAGAGGCAAAGUGGCCUCCACAUGCGCUUUUGUGGCAAUGACUGAGGAUCCCCUGUUGCUCUUGUUCAGGGAUACACUUCCUUAUUAUUUGAUCUGCACAAUACUUGAAAAAAAAAAGUUCUUCCCAAUAAUAAGCAUGAAUUUUUGCAAAGAUGUGCUUCCUAUCUUGUGCUUUCCACUCACUUGGAACUUCACCAGUAACUAGAUAGUUAGCAUACUGAGCAUACCAAGAAGCAUCUUCUAACAACAUGAGUGACUCCUCCGGAAAAUCAUCAUUAAUAGGUAAACCAUGGGAAUUAUGCAAUAUAGCCAGCCUUGAAAGGUGGUCAACUACCACAUUCUCCACUCACUUCUUGUCUUUGAUUUGGAGAUUGAAUUCUUAUAGUAAGAGAAUCCAUCUAAUCAGUUGUGCUUUUGCAUGUUGCUUUGUCAAUAAGUACUUCAAAGCUGAGUGGUCAAUGAAAACCACAAUGAAAGACCCUACUAGAUAAGCUCGAAAUUUGUCCAAGGCAAAAAUUACAACCAACAAUUCUUUCUCUGUGGUUGUGUAGUUUCUUUGCGCUUCGUUCAAUGUUUUGCUUGCAUAGUAGAUCACAUAGGGCUUUCCAUUCUCUCUUUGACCAAGAACAGCUCCUAUAGCAAAGUCACUAGAAUCACACAUCACUUCAAAAGGUAGUUGCCAGUUAGGAGCUCUCACUAUUGGAGCGAUUGUCAAGAACUGCUUCAGUUGCUCAAAACUCUUUUGACAUCUCUUAUCCCAUGCAAAUUUACCAUCAUUCACUAAUGGUUCACAAAGAGGCUUUGAAAGUUUAGAAAAAUAUUUAAUAAACCUCCUGUAGAACCCAGCAUGGCCAAGGAAUUGUCUUACUCCUUUUACAGUUGUUGGGGAUGGCAAUUUGACAAUAAGUUCCACCUUUGCUUUAUCAACUUCAAUGCCUUUCUUGGAGAUGAUGUGGCCAAAGACAAUUCCUUGUUGUACCAUAACAUGGCAUUUCUCCCAGUUAAGCACUAAGUCUUUUUCAAUGCAUCGGUUUAGAAUAGCUUCCAAGUUGACUAAGCAUUCCUCAAAUGUGCUUCCAUAUAUGGUGAUAUCAUCCAUAAAAACUUCCAUAAUACACUCCACCAUAUCACUGAAAAUGUUUAACAUACAUUGUUGGAAUGUUGUAGGUGCAUUGCAUAAACCAAAAGGCAUUCUUCUGUAGGCAUAUGUUCCAAAUGGACAUGUGAAAGUGGUCUUCUCCUAGUCUUCAACAUCAAUUUCUAUUUGAAAAUACCCGGAGUAGUCGUCCAAGAAUCAAUAGAAAUGAUGGCCUGAGACUCUCUCCAACACUUGAUCAAUAAAUGGCAAUGGAAAAUGAUCAUUCCUUGUCACAACAUUCAAAUUUAUAUAAUCAAUACACACCUUCCAACCUGAAGUGAGGCGUGUAGCAACUUCUUCUCCCUUAUCAUUUUUCACCACUGUGAUCCCUGAUUUCUUUGGCACUACUUGAGUAGGACUCACCCAUGGGCUAUCUGAUAUGGGGUAGAUAAUACCGGCCUGAAGUAGCUUAAGAACCUCAGCUCGCACCACCUCUUGCAUAUGAGGAUUCAAUCUUCUUUGAGGUUGACGAACUGGCUUAGCUUCUUCUUCCAUGUAUAUAUGAUGUGUACAGACUAAAGGGUUGAUUCCUUUUAAGUCAGAUAUUUGUCAUCCUAUUGUUUUCUUACAUUUCCUGAGAACUUCAAGUAAACACUCCUCCUGACGAGUGGUAAGAGAUGAAGAUAUAACAAUAGGGCACUUCUUAUUAUCUUCUAGGUAUGCAUACUUCAACUCCGUGGGUAGUGGUUCAAAAUAAGCUUUGGGGCCUCCUCUUUAACCGCUUCUUAUAUCUCCUCCUCAUUGAACAAAGGUAGAAUUUCUUCUAUCAUCCUCCAACCUGGUAGAGUAACAAGCAAAUCUGAGGGUUCAGGCAACCCUUCAUCAAGAUCCCCAAGACUUUCAUUCAACUUCUCUUGUAUUUUCUUAUUACAAUGCUCCUCCACUAAAGUGUCAAUGAUGCACACCACUUCUGAACCUUCUUCUUCUUCAGGAUUGAUUGGCUUCUUGCACAUAUAGAAGAUAUUGAGCUCCAAUGUCAUGUUGCCAAACGUGAGUUGCAUGAGUCCAUUCCUACAAUUGAUGAUUGCAUUUGAUGUAGCUAGGAAUGGUCUUCUAAGUAUGAUAGGAACAUAAUUAGUUUCUUUGACAAUUGGGUCCAUAUCAAGAACAACAAAAUCCACUGGAUAGUAGAAAUUGUCAACUUGAACUAAGACAUCUUCAAUCAUCCCUCUUGGAAUCUUCACUGAUCUAUCUGCUAGAGAUAGAGUGAUUGAUGUUGGCUUCAAUUCACCAAGUCCUAAUUGCUUGUGGACAAAGUAUGGUAACAAAUUCACACUUGCUCCCAAGUCCAACAAAGCUUUCUCCACUAAAGUCCCUCCAAUCAUCACUAAAAUAGUAAGGCAGCCCAGAUCUUUGUACUUCACUGGAGACUUACAUUGUAUGAUGGCACUUACUUGCUCAGUCAUGAAGGCUUUCUUAUUCACAUUCAACCCUCUUUUGAUAGUGCACAAGUCCUUCAGGAAUUUUGCAUAAGUCGGCACUUAUUUAAUCAUGUCUAGCAAUGGGAUGUUGACCUUCACUUGCCUCAACACUUCAAGAAUUUCUGAUGCAUUGCUAAUUCCCUUUUUCUCAUGCAAAGCUUUAGGAAAAUGUGGAGGCAUGUGUUUAUUUAUCACAUCUCCCUUGAUAACUAUCUUCUCCUAAUCUUCAUUCAUUGUUGAAUCAUGGUCCUCUUUCCUUCCACUGCUCCCUUUCUUCUUUCAUUUGAUUUCCUCUCUCUUCUCUGUCUCUUUUUCACUCUUUGUUUCAUCAUGUGGCUUGGGUGUUGGCAACCCAACCUCUUUACCACUCCUAAGAGUGAUCAUGGCUUUGACGUCCCUUACUUGUAAAGAUUCUCCCUCAUGAGCUUCCACUUCAUGGAUACCCUUGGGGUUUUGGUGAGGUUAAGAAGGAAACCUUCCCUUUUCUUACACUGUGUUAAGGUUAGUGAGCCUUGAGAUUGAGUAUUGGAGAUUAUCUAUCUUCUGAGAUAAAUCGUUUGCAUUCCAUCCAUCCUUUUAUUCAACGUAUUCUCUACACUAUCAAUUCUUUGAUUGAGUUGAGCAUUGAUGGAUUUCUGGUCUCCAACAAAAUCUCCCACGACCUUGCUUAGAUUCACAAUUGUUUGCUCAAGAUUUGAAGCUUGUUGAGAUGCUUGGCCUGGUUGCGUGUACUAAAGUGCUCUUGGUUUCCAAGAAAAAUUUGGAUGGUUCCUUCAAUUUGAAUUGUAGGUAUUUCCAUAUGAAACAUUGUUAUUGGGCUUGAAUUGUCCAAUGACAUUUGCUUGAUCUCCAAACAUUUCUCUAACAUCUAGAAUUAUAGGACACUCCUCCACUAAGUGCUCAUAAGAUUGACAAAUGGAACAAGGCAUAACUUGCACUAGUGUUUCAGAAGCGGCUUGCACUUCACGUAUCUUUUUUAGUUCUAGCUCCCCCAAUCUUCUUGUCAUAGCUGCAACUUUUGCUUUCAUGUCAAUAUCUUCGUUCAAGGUAUACAUCCCAGCCUUAGCAUUAAGAGCAUUUGGUUGAGACUUCAUUUUUCCCACUUCUCCCAUGUUCGGUUCAUCCCAUCCUCUUGAAACUUCAACAACAUAAUUCAAGAAAUCCAUGGCUUCCUCUGGAUUCUUACUCAUGAAAUCUCCUCCACACAUAGUCUCUAGGAGUUGCUUCAUUGAGGAAGACAUACCAUCAUAAAAGUAACUCACCAAUAGCCAUGUAUCAAAGCCAUGGUGAGGACAAGCAUUGAUAGCUUCCAUGUAUCUCUCCCAACACUCAUAGAAUUUCUCAUUCUCCUUAGUUGAGAAGUUUGAAAUUUAUCUUUUCAAGCCAUUGGUCCUAUGAGUAGGGAAAAUUUUCUUGAGAAAUUCAGCUUGCAAAUCAGUUCAAGUUCGGAUACUCCUUGGCCUUAAAGAAUUAAGCCAAAUCUUGGCCUUAUCCUUCAGGGUGAAAGGAAAUAGUUUUAGCCUCAUCAAGUCGAUUGAAGCUCCUUCCUCUUGGAAUGUAUUACAAACAUCUUCAAAUUCUUUGAUAUGCGUGUAAGGAUUCUCACUUUCCAUCCCAUGGAAAGUAGGUAGAAAUGGCACAAUAUGUGGUCUGAUUACUAGUUGCUCUGUAAGAGGCACUAUGCAUGAUUAUGCACUCAUACGAGGUGGAUGCAUGUGGUCGCUCAUUGAUCUGAAUGCAUUAGGAUUGUCCUAUUGACCAUGGUGACUAUGCUGAUCUUCAGGUGUAGCUUCCAUGAUGUUCAAGCACAAUUCCAACUCUAUUUCGUGAGGUGUUUCAAUUUUUACAAGUCUUCCUCCACUGUCUCAUAUCCAAUAUGGCAUACACAACUAGUAACAACUGUAACAAAAAUAAAGAAACAAAAGAAAACAAUACUACAAAAAAACUAAGAUUAACUAAAAACUAAAUUAAAAGAUAGGUUAAAAUAUGAACAAGUAAAAUAAACAAUUAAAAAGAGUUAGUAAAAGAAAAGAAAAAUCACCAAAAUUGUGAUGAAGAUCACAAGUGUUUUGGAAAAUGUUAUAUCACUGUAAAGUUGGCACCAUCCCCGGCAACGACGCCAUUUGAUUCGUGCCCAACUGGUGUAUGUCCUGUUGAUUAGUGUUCAAUCAACUAGUGUACUCUGAUUUUCGGUCCUCAGACGGGAGUAAUCAACAAAAUUUAUAAACCUAUUUCACCAUAUACUAGGGUAGCAUUAGCUAGCAUAGCAUAGUGGCUCUAGGAUCGUCCACAAGGAUGGGUUUUCAAAUUACAAUUGAUAUCAGUUCAAAAACUGAAUUGAUGUCUUUUCUUUUCAAGGUUAGCUUUAAAAGAAAACAUAAAUAUGUUCAAAAAGGUUGGUUUUAAGUGAAACAAAAAUAAAGUAACUGAAAUUACUUACAAAGAAAAGUGCUUCUUGGAGUUUUAGAUCACUAGGCUCAAGUUCCUUAUACAAAAAAGGAGAUUCCGGUCACUUGAAUAUUUUCCUUGCAUUAAGUAUUUAACAUAUAGUUAUUUCCCGAACCGGUGUGGUACAGAUGAUUCCCCUUAAUGGUUUCAAACACUAAAUCCAUGUCACUGAAUCAUUUUGCAAUGGUUCAUAUCUCUCACCUAGUAUUGGCCAUUCAGGGUGAUCCUUAACCUUGGAUUACCCGUCAAAAGCUCGCAAGAGAUAACUAAUGGAUGUCUCAUAGGAGUCCAAAAGCUUACCAAGUGUUGGCUAUUCUAGAUAAUCCUACCUUUAAACCACCUCCUAGAGGCUCACAAAAGAUAAACUAGUGUAUCUCAAUGGACGGAGACCACUUGCCUUACCAAGUAUUGGCCCAGGUGAUUUUAAGGGAUUUUAAGUUAACUAAAAAGAUAAAAACCAUUAACAAGUCACACUUUCUUUUCAUUAAAAACUGAAACAAUGAAACUUCCAAUUUUUGUAUUCAGAACCUUACCUAGCUUCCUUCACUCCAAGAAACAAAAAGCCUACCCACUCAUCCUCUAGGAAAACAUCCUCAGAGUUUGAUUGGCUAGAAAUAAAAAUAAAGAGAAAACAAAAUGAGAAGGUAAGGCAAAGCAAAGCUCUGUGUAUUACUUUUUGAAAAACUAUACAAAAAGUCGUCUCUGAAAAAAAAAACUCCUGAGCUCUCUUAAAAGAAAAUUACAAUAGAUAUUAUAUAGAGAGGCUAUUCACACCUCCUGCUAACUUCCCAACCAAGAAAACUCGUCAUUGGUGGGUUACAAGGAGAAAAUAGGGAUUUACACACAAAUAUCUGAAGAUAAAUAUCAAACGGACUCGGUGCGCAAAUAUCUCAAAUUACAGGUGGAUUUCGCAAGUUGAAAUUAUCCAUUUCGCAAGUUGAAAUUAUCCAUUUCGCAAGUUGCGAAAUUGUCCUACAACUUAUCAGCUCUCUAUCUUGUAGCGAUUCCUUUCCUCUUUCUAUUUCACAAGUUGCGGAAAUUUCGCAAGUUGGAUUCCACAACUUGUGAAAUUGUUGGAUGGUUGAUUUCUUCUGUGCUUUUCUUCCUUGCAUCCCCAUUUGGCUUUGGCAAAGGGUUAUGAAGCUCCAAAGCUUAGUUUCUUCAUGAAUUUGAGCUUCAACUUGGUUUGCCAUGAACUAUACAAAGAUCUCCCUCAUUCUUGGAUUGCUUUGGUGAUAAAAAAACUAUCAAAAACACCAAAACUUAACAUAAUUUGAUUAGAAACGAUUGCAAGGGUCCUUAACAUGCCAAUUGAGUUAAAAGGUAAUAACUACUACUCAAAAUUGUUUAAAAGGGUUAAUUACAAGCUAUAAAAUAGCACUUUUUGAGUAGUAAUCCCUAGACAAGAGAACCGCGAGAUUUUGAGGCAGUUCCAGAGCACUCAGGCCCGUAUCUCCAUUUGGAGUCUUUUGGCAUCAUCUAUUUCUCACUAGGAGGCACUGGUUAGGGCGUUGAGCCAGAUACGAGUUGAGGCAUCUACCUCCCUUGAUGGAUUGAUCCAUAUGUUGACAGUUGAUGGGGCCACAUACAUUGUCUUUUCUGCUGAUGAUCUAUCCCAUAGGCUUUUUUACCAUACUCUACCAUUCUACAUAUUUUGUUGGUUAUUCUAGGCAUCGAGUUCUAUUUGUCAUUUUGGACAAUGGCUCUGCCUUGAACAUUUGCCCACUAGCUACAACAAUCGUUCUUGGCUUUGGACCUUCAGACUUUGAGCCAUUUUCUUAGACAGUUCAAGCCUAGACCGCUAUAGAGAGGCGACAUGGUUUUAAAAGUCAUCAGGGGAUUGAUCAAAGAUCCUAGAAGAAAGUUCAAACCUAAUUGAAGCAGACCUUAUUUCAUUAGGGAGCUGACCCUAAAGGGCGCUGCAUGGUUGAUGGAUCUAGAUAGAAAUCGAUUCUUGGAGCCAACCAAUGUAGAUUAGUUGAAGAAGUAUUAUGUUUGAGACCAUGGUCACAAAAUGGGUGGCCAUCAUUUCGGUUAGCCAUAUACCUUGUUAUUCCAUUUUGAUAUACAAACCGUUGCUAACCCAUUGAGCCUCGCAUGUGCAUUAUAGUUUUUCUUUCUUAUUGCCUUGCUCACUUCUUUACACCGGGAUAAGGGUCCUUUAGUGUAUGUAUGCAUUGUUUGGGAGUCUCAUGAGCCUUGGGCCUAUGGGUGCAUCUUUCUCUCAUUAUUUUUCCUACCAUCACACUACUGCAUUCCAUCAUAUCUCAUUGGUUGUGUUAUUCAUCUCUUUUUUUCUUUAUUCUAUAUCCUACUUUUUUUGCUUCAUAUUCUUUCCACCCUGAGUGGUAAUCUUCCUCAAUUCAUUACAUGGAGGAUAGUCAUAUCAUUUCCACUAUCUAUCUUAUGGACACUGAUUUAGAGAUCUUUAGUUUGAGAAGGUCAUCUCGUUAGAGAGAGUUUGUUACUUUAGCCCUUGAGAGUAUGUCUAUCCAUUAUAGACAUCAUCUUUAGGGUUCAUUUGUUUAUGUUCAAGGUAUGUGCAUUUGUAUAUAUGUAAAAUAAUAAUAAUAAUAAUAAUAAUAAUAAUAAUAAUAAUAAUAAUAAUAAUAAUAAAGUACAUGUGUGUAUGUGCAUAGUAUUCUCCAUCAUCGAGCGUGUAUAUUGAUAUCUGAGGGUCAUUUUAUCGAGUAUGUUUGUUGUUGAGAGUUUGUAUGUGAGCUUUCUGAGAUCCUAUUUUCUUUGUGUUCACUUUGUCUUUGAGAGUGAGAUGAGUGGCCUUCUCCUAAGGGCUCUGGGUCAUUGUCUUUUCCAUCAUUACAUUAAUUGUUGAUGUGACUUCACUCCAUGUUUGAUUUGAGUUUAUCAUCACUUUUCUUCAUAUAUUCAUCGUUUCGCUAUCAUCAUCGUCAUUGAUUGUGAUUCAUCCUAUUCACUUCACCCAUUUGUUUCUUUUCUUACACUAACCUAUUCCAAGUUUGAUAUUUUCCUUGCAUCAUUCUUCUGUAUCUCAUUAUCAGUUUGAUUUGCCUUAUUGUCUCAUUAUUGAUAUUAUGUUCACAUUGGGCACCCUCAAGUCCAUGGCUCACAAGCUUUUCUAUACAUGUUGUAUUUUAUACAUGAGGACAUGAGUUUUUUAUUGUUGGGUAUUUAGGCCUAGUUUCUCUUUGUUUCUAUUACCUUAUCAACCUAGCCUGCGUUACGUCUCGUGUCUUAAGACCACCUGAGACCAUGGGAUCAGAUGUCGUCUUCGACAGCCCUUACUUGGACAAGUAUUUGAGAUUUGGUUGAUAUUUAGAUAUCUUCAUGCUUCUUCUUUUGGGAGACGUCUCUUUGACAUUUGGACCUGAUUCAGUUGUGGAUAUGGAUGACCGGGAUUGCACAUUUGAUGAUGGAUGAUAUGAUGUUGUCUGAUUUUUCUGAUCUACCACACAUCAAGUGUCAUACUGGGGCAUAUUCUGUUUUGAUUGAGAUCUAUAGAUCUUCAUGGAUUUGUAUGAUCAUCUCCACCUAUGAGAUGCAUGUUGAGUCGAUGAUAUAUUGUCGUCUUAUCAUGAUCCCCUAGUAGAGUUUCUCUUGAGCUAUCCAGUCAGGCCCACACUUUUCGUUAUUUAGAUGUCAUCGUACUUCUUCUUCUAAGAGACACCUUGUUUGAUCAUUAGAUUCGAUUCAGCUAUGGAUUUGGAUAACUGAGAUCACACAUUUGAUGAUGGAUGAUUUGAUAUUGUCCGAUUUUUCGACCUACCGCACAUUUGAUGUCAUACUGGGGCAUAUUCUGUUUCGGUUGAGAUUCAUAGAUUUUCAUGGAUUUGCAUGAUCACCCCUAUUUACGAGAUGCACGCCAAGACGAUGACCUAUUUGCUAUCUUAUCAUGAUCCCCUAGUGCAAUCUCUUUUGAGUCAUCCAGUCAGGCCCACACUUUUUAGCAUUCAGAUGUCAUCAUGCUUUCUUCUGGGAGAUGCCCUUUUGACGCUUAGAUUCGAUUCAAUUAUGGAUGUGGAUGACCAGGAUUACACAUUUGAUGAUGGAUGAUUUGAUGUCAUUUGAUUUUCCAACCUAUCAUACAUUUGAUGCUAUACUAGGGCAUAUUCCGUUUCGGUUGAGAUUUAUAGAUCUUUACGGAGUUGCAUGAUCACCCCCACUUACUAGAUGCAUGCAUAGACGAUGACUUGUCGUUAUUUUAUCAUGAUCCCUCAGUGGAACAUCUCUUGAGCCAUCCAGUCAGGCCUGCACUUUUCGAUAUUUAGAUGUCAUCAUCAUUUUUCUUCUAGGAUAUGUCUCUUUGAUCGAUGGGCCCGAUUCAGUUAUGGAUGUGGAUGAUCAGGAUUACAUAUUUGAUGAUGGAUGAUUUGAGGUCAUUUGAUUUUUUUUGACCUAUCACACAUCUGGUUCCAUAUUGGGGCAUAUUUCCUCUUCGGUUGAGAUUUGUGGAUCUCCAUUAAUUGGCAUGGUUCAUCUCCAGUUAGGAAAUACGCGUCGGGUUGAUGAUUUGCUUUCAUUUUGUCUUAAUUCUCUAGUGGAGUCUUUCUUAAGUCAUUCAAUCAAGCUCGUACUUUCUAAUAUUGUCGUGAUUCUUGGAUGGAGUUAUCUUAGAUGCACAACCUCUCAUAUCAUCAUUUUAGUGGAGUACAUGUCAGAUCUCUUAUACAUCCCCAUUGAGUUAUUCUUGAGUUAUCAAGAUAGACUGGAUGCCCUAGUUGCUAUACUGGGGCAUAUUUCCCUCUUUUAGCUGUGGAGAUGAUUGUUUUCUCACAAACCUAUUACAGUCUUCAUCACUCGGCCGAGGGAUAUUUAUUUGCAUUACUAGCCACAAUUUUGAUGAUUUUUGCCAAGAUGAACUUUAGAGGAGCACAACCUUUUGGGUUUUGAUUGUCCCACCAUCCAUGACUCUUAAGUAAAUCAUUGUGUUGAGGUCACAGUAGUUACCCCAGCAGACUAUUCUCUUAAGACUCCCUAGUUGAUCAUUCAUUUGAGAUGAUGAUGGACUCCUCUAGCAAAGCAUUUUGAGUUAAAGGCGUCUGACUUAUUGUGACACAUCAUCAGGUCUCAUGAUUUAGUUAGAUGGAUUGUGAGGUCGUACUUAUAGUCGAUAUGACUAGUCCGACUCGCUAGCAGAGCCUCUUUUGAGACUCAUGGAGUCUCUUUCAGACCAUUUCAACGGAUUGAGAGUUGUGGCGGCACGCUACACUGGGGCAUAUUUCUCUCUCAUCAUUUCCUUGCAGCUAUGGUGUUCAAAGCCACCAUCUCCUUACAGUUCGGUAUUCAGAGCUGUCAUUUCCUCGUAGCUUGGCAUUCAGAGCCAUAGUCUAUUCUCAGUUACGACGUUCAGAGUCGUCCUCACAGUUUGGCGUUCAAAUCCAUUAUCUCUUUUCAGUUUAGCGUCCAGAGUAACGUUUUCAGCUUGGUGUUCAGAGCCACACCUUUGGUUUGACAUUCAGAGCCACCAUCUCGUUUUCAGUUUGGCGUUCAGAGCCACCAUUCUCAUUAUAGUUCAGCGUUCAAAGCCACCAUCUCUUCUUAGUUACGACGUUCAGAGUCACUAUCUCUUUUCAGUUUCAGCGUUUAGAGCCACCAUCUCAUUCUCAGUUUCGGCGUUCAAAGCUACCAUCUCAUUUUCAGUUUGGCGUUCAAAACUGCCAUCUCUUUACAGGUUGGAGUUCAAAGUCGCCAUAUCUUCUCAAUUACGACAUUCAAAGUCGUCUUUCAUAGUUUGGUGUUCAAAGUCACCAUUUCUUCUCAAUUUCGGCGUUCAGAGCCACCAUCUCUUUUCAGUUUGGCAUUCAAAGCCACCAUCCCUUUUCAGUUUGGGCGAUAAAAGACACCAUCUCUUUUCAGUUUGGCGUUCAGAGCCACCAUCACUUCUUAGUUAUGUCGUUCAGAGCCGCCAUAUCUUCUCAAUUAUGACAUUCAGAGUUGUCCUUCACAGUUUGGCGUUCAGAGCCAUCGUCUUUUCUAAGUUUCGGCAUUCAAAGCCACCAUCUUUUCUCAGUUUGGCCGUUCAGAGCCACCAUCUCUUUUCAGUUUGGCGUUCAGAGCCACUAUCCCUUCUUAGUUACGGAGUUCAGAGUCGCCAUAUCUUCUAAGUUACGACAUUCAGAGUCGCCCUUCAUAGUUUGGCGUUAGAGCCACUAUUCCUUCAUAGUUUCGACGUUCAAAGCCACCAUCUCUUUUCAAUUUGGGCAUUCAGAGCCACCAUCUCUUUUCAUUUUGGUGUUCAAAGCCACCAUUCCUUCUUAGUUUUGGCGUUCAAAGCCACCAUCUAUUCUUAGUUACGACGUUUAGAGUCGUUCUUCUCAGUUCGGUGUUCAGAGCCACCAUCUCUUCUCAGUUUCGACGUUCAAAGCCACCAUCUCUUCUCAAUUUCUGCGUUCAAAGUCACCAUCCCUUUUUAGUUUGGGUGUUCAGAGCCACCAUCUCUUUUCAGUUUGGCGUUCAGAGCCACAAUCCUUUCUUAGUUACAGCAUUCAGAGCCAUCAUAUCUUCUCAGUUACGACAUUCAGAGUCGUCAUUCAUAGUUUGGCGUUCAGAGCCAUUAUCUCUUCUCAGUUUCGGCGUUUAGAGCCAACAUCUCUUCUCAUUUUGGCAUUCAAAGAUGCAUCUUCAGUUUGGCGUUCAGAGCCGUAUUUUCAUUUUGUUGUUCAGAGCCGCAAUUCCAUUUUGACGUUCGGAGCCUCUUCUUAGUUACGGUGUUCAAAGUCAUCCCAUCAUAGUUUGGCGUUCAGAGUCACCGUCUCUUCUCAGUUUCGACGUUUAGAGCCACCAUAUUUUCUCAGUUUGAGCGUUCAGAGCCACCAUCUCUUUUCAGUUUUGCGUUCAGAGCCACCAUCCCUUCUUAGUUAUGGCGUUUAGAGCCGCCAUAUCUUCUUAGUUACAACAUUCAGAGUCGUCCUUCACAUUUUGGUGUUCAGAGCCAUUAUCUCUUUUCAAUUUCGACGUUCAAAGCCACCAGCUCUUCUCAUUUCGAUGUUCAUAGCCACAUCUUCAAUUUGGCGUUCAGAGCUGCAUUUUCAUUUUAGCGUUCAGAGCCGCAUUUCCAUUUUGACGUUCGGAGUCAUAUUAUCAGUUUUGGCCUUCAUUGCCACCUUUUCGACAUUCAGAGCCAUCAUCCCUUCUUAGUUUGGUGUUCAAAGCCACUAUCUCUCCUCAGUUUCGGCGUUCAGAGUCACCAUCUCUUCCAAUUUCAGGCGUUCAGAGCCACUAUCUCUCCAUAGUUUGGCGUUCAGAGCCACCAUCUCCUCUUAGUUACGGCGUUCAAAGUCACCAUAUCUUCACAGUUAUGACAUUCAUAGUCAUCCUUCAUAGUUUGGCGUUUAAAGCCACCGUCUCUUCUCAGUUUUGGUGUUUAGAGUCACCGUCUCUUCUCAAUUUGGGCGUUCAAAGCCACCAUCUCUUUUCAGUUUGGUGUUCAAAGCCACCAUCCCUUCUUAGUUACAGUAUUCAGAGCUGUCAUAUCUUCUCAGUUACAACGUUCAUAGUCGUCCUUCACAGUUUGGCGUUCAGAGCCACCGUCUCUUCUCAGUUUUGGCGUUUAGAGCCACCAUUUCUUUUCAGUUUGGCGUUCAAAGCCACCAUCCCUUCUUAGUUAUGGAGUUCAGAGCCUCCAUUUUUUUACAUUUUGGCAUUCAGAGCCGCCAUAUCUUCUCAGUUACGACGUUCAGAGUUGUCAUUCUUAGUUUGGGGCUCAGAUUCAUGUCUUUAGUUUUAGGCGUUCAAAGCCACUCAUCUCUUCCAGUUUCAGGCAUUCGGAGCCACUAUCUCUCCAUAGUUUGGCGUUCAGAGCCAUCAUCAUAUGUCUUCAGUUUGGCGUUUAGAGUCAUGUCUUCAGUUUUAAGCGUUCAAAGUUAUGUCUUCAAUUUGGCAUUUAGAGUCACCAUCUUUCCUCAUUUUGGCGUUCAGACCCAUUUUUCCUUAGUCUUAUCAUUCAGAGUCAUAGCUCUUGGCAUUCAUAUUCACUGGCAUUGCACAUCUUGCCUUCACAAUUUUACAUUUGUCCUUAUUUUCCUCACCUCAUUACCUUGUGCUUAUCGCUUGUUCAUCAUCCUCUUUUAGACUUCCCCUUCCACUACACAUGACACAAUCCUUUGAGUUCACGACACUUAUUUUGGUCAUGUUGUUGGUCACCCUACACUUAGUGUUCUCAUGUAGUUCACAUAGGGCAAUCCCCUUUAAAUGCAUUCUUUCCUGUACUCUAAGGUGGUUCAAUCGUUACUCAUCUUUGACAUCGAUUUUCGAGUCACUUUUGGAGAAAUCUUAAAUAGAGUCUGGAUCCCUAGUGCAACUUUAGAGGCACUCUGAGAGCUACCCUUCUCUUAGGAUUUUAGAGCCUUGAGUGAGCUUGUGUUCUACUUAUGUACCUUUAGGGGUCUUUCUUUUUCUUCAGUAGAGUUCACUUUAUUUCACUCACUUUUCACACUUUCUUUUCACUCCAGUGUUCAUAUUCUUUGCACUUAUGAACUCUACCGAAGAAGGGCAUAUUUGUAGACCCCCUCGGAUAGAAGAAGUCUUUCUUUUCUUCUGACCACCCCAAGAGUGGGCUGUUUUGGGCGGCCAGAUGGGAUUGGAAAUGAAAGAAAAAUAGGGCAUGGGUGAGCUGUAUUAGUGGCUAGAUGGGAUGGAAAGAGAAAAAAACAGAUGAAGCGAUUUGGGGAUUGUCGGGAAAGCUUAAAAUGGGGCAAGAGAUGUUGGAAAAGGGUUCUGAAAAAAAAAAAAAAAAAAUUGGGGGUAGCUAGAAAAAGGAAAAAUAUGGGAGUAGGGAGAAAAGAACUUGAGAAAGAAAUGAGGAAUGGAUACUAAGAGAGAGAAGGCUAAAACUCAUAAAGUUUUGUUGCUUGGAGGAUUCCUUAGGUGAGUUUGCUGGAUAUUUUCUUGUUCACCUUCAUUUUCUAUGCAUAUUGCCUUCUUCUUUUGCUAUUUGAGGUUUUGGCUUGCUCAUUUGAUUACAGCUAACAUAGUUUGCACAUGAGUUUUGCUGAUUUUUGGUUUGUUCAAUAUGCUCAUUAUUAUUGUUUCAGUCACUGUUCUUUGUAGCAUUAUCUGAACCCUAUGAAGGUCUGUUUCACUUGGCUUUAUUUGGAAAUUUGGUUGUCGUUUUUUUUGUUUGUUUCAAUAUGCUUGCCUUCCUCCCACCAAUCUGAGUCCCUUGGAACGAAAUGUGAAAUGUAGCUUUCACAGGUUCAUUUUUGUUUUUUUUUCUUCAUGCUCUAUUUUCUUAUCAUCCUCCUCCGUUUUCUGUGGGUUUUCUGGGUGCAUAGCAUCAUGUGUAUCACCAACUGAUGAGAUUAGAGAUUGGCUACUGGACAUUUGAUUAAGUUAAAGAAAGAAGGGUAGGAAAAAGUGUUUUUUUAGAGAGGCUGAGAAGAAAAACAGGGCUUUCGAUGUAACUGGUGGCGGCGAGGCUAGAAGUGGUGACAAGGAGGCACUUGACGGGUCCAGUCGCGAGUAAGGGAGAGCAAAAAUUGAGGAUGGUGGGUUAGAUUCUGAGGACCGGGAAUUCAAGAACGCGAAAGAGAUGUACAAAGCUGAAAUCAGAAAUAGAGCAAAUCCUCACAAGAAGACCAAAGGGUACUGUAAAGGCGUCGGCUACUGGGAAUGUGUGGAGGCAUCGAUGGAUCGUGUAUUGGGUGGAUACAGCCAUGUGAAUGAUGUGGAUGUUAAGUGCAAUGAAGCUUUCCUUAAAACACUAUUCUAUGAGCGGUUCGUUGAUGCUAGAAGAAUUCAGCAUCUUAUUGCCCUAGAUUGUGGUUCUGGCAUCGGAGAGUGACUAAGAAUUUUCUUAUAAGGUAUUUUAAUGAGGUUGAUCUUGUUAAGCCAACAUCACAUUUCUUGGAGGUUGCCCGUGAAACUUUGGCCUCUAGAAAGCUUAUGUCUUCGGAUAUGCACAAGGCAACCAACUUUUAUUGUGUUUCACUUCAAGACUUCACUCCAAAAGUAGGGAGAUAUGAUGUUACAUGGAUUCAGCGGUGUAUUAGGCAGCUUGCAGACGACGAUUUCAUUUCAUUCUUUAAGAGAGCAAAGGUUGGACUGAAACUUAGGGGAGAAGCAGACUGAUAAAAAGUUAAUGAGAUGAUGGAAAGGUUGUGAGGUGAUGAUUUCUUUAACUUUAAUACCAAAAAAAAAAAAAAUGAGUCCCGAGGGAUGCUGGAGGACAUGUCAUGACCUAGGCAUAGAAGCCUAAUGUGAUCAUGAAGCUUGCAGUGAUGGAAAAUGCAUUAAAGGAAAUGGUCUCAAGGGGUUUUCUAAAAUGCAUUUAUUAGAUAUUAUGGCUUUUUUUGGUUCUCUGACAGAAAUGGAAGCUAAUUGAUAUUCUUUGAAUUUGAUGAUCACAAUGAAGUUGCUACUGACCCCACUUGAAAAAAACCACCAAAUUUUCCACCCCUGGUUGUAUUUAACCACAUGCAUAAAGAGCUUCCACUUGGAAAUGGCCAUAGAAAAGUUAUUAUUGUUGGGGAAAACAACACCACAUAUUGCCCACGUGCCUUUAUUUAUUUAUUCAUUUAUUUAUUUUUAUUUAUUAUUCUUUAUCCUCACACGCCAAAGUUUUAUUUUCACAAAUUCUCUUUAAAAUGAUUUUCAAAAUUCUGGUUUUUCAAAUAAUCUUAUUUUCAUUCCAAUUUUUAAAUUUAAUUUUCAAAAAAUCUAAUUCUCAAACAAUUUUCCAAAACCAAUUUUCAUAAUUUCCAUUUUUAAAUAAUUCUUCAAAAUUCCAAUUCUCAAAUUUAAUUUUCAAAACUCCAAUUUCUUUCAAAAAUUAAUUUUCAAAACUCCAGUUUUUAAAUUUAAUUUUUAAAAAUCCAAAUUCUCAAAUAAUUUUCAAAAUUCCAAUUUCUUUCAAAUUUAAUUUCCAAAAUUCCAAUUCUUAACUUUAAUUUUCAGAACUCCCAUUUUCAAAUAAUUUUUUUUUAAAUUCCAAUUUUUUUAAAUUUAAUUUUUUAGACUUCAAUUUUCAAAUAAAUUUCAAAAUUCUAGUUUUCUUUCAAAUAAUUUUAAUUUCACUCUAGUUUUCAAAUUUUUUUUUUUAUUCAACAGUUAUUCAUUCUUUAUUAGGGUUUUAGGUCACCAAAAAUCUUGAUUUUAAUAAGUUUGCUGCCAUUCUCAUUUUGGCAUGCACUUGUAUAAAUUUUCUUCAAUUUUCAAAUAAUUUUCUGUUUCUCUUGAUUUUAAGUAAGCAAGAAUGAGUUUUUUUUCAUAAUUCCAAAAUAAUGGAAUUUGUGGGACUAAUUCAUGCAAGAUAAAUUGGGCUUUGGUGGGGGCCCUACAUAUGAUCUCUUCUGAUUGUCAACUGUUAUGCUUAAUGAAUAUUGUAUGAUCUUUGUCUUGCUAUUUGAUAUGCAUGCGAUAUAUUUUGUAUUCAUUAUUGUGCACUAAUCCCACUUCAUGAUAGCGCAUUACUACUUGCUACCAACGUACGAUCUCACUCCCACCUUAUUUAUUCUCAUACAUGAUUCAUUUUAUUAUUUGAUCAUUUUGGUAUCCAUUAAUCUCUUAGUUAAUUUUCAUGUUUGUCUCACCUUAUUUAGUAGAAACUCAUUUUUAGGAACUUAAAGAGGUGUUUUCGGCCUUUUACCGUACCUUCCCAAUAAGUAACCUGACCCCCGGAUCCGACUCGGUUUUUCACAGACCUGUUUUCCCAAAUAAGGAGUCACACUUAAGGUUUUUUUUUCUUAUUUUGUUUUCCCUUUAAAAAUAAAAUAAAAAUAAGUGGCGACUCCAAAUCUUUUCUAAAAAUCAUAUUUCCAUCAAAUAAAUAAAAAGAGAGUUUUGCCCACCAAGUGGGAACACGCAUCGUGCGAAAUACAGGGUCCACAGUUUGAUAAAUUAAUUUAAUGAUUUAAUUUAAGUUAUGAAGUAUAUUAUGUUUUGUAAAAUCAAUGAUUUAACCAUCAUAAAUUUAUAUUUCUUGUCAAUUUUCUUCAUUUUUUUUUCAAUUUUCUAUACUAAUUUUAAGGUUAAAUUUAUAAUUAAAAAAGAAUUAUAUAUAUUAUUUUCAUAAUUAACAACACAAUGUAAUACUUUUAUUCAUAGAUUUUAAAUUAUUAAUAAAACUAAAAUCUUAUUCAUUCCAAAAGUUAAUUUCUUAAAUUAAAGGUACUUUGAUGGAAAGUACACUUCUAACCGUCCUCUCUCCACUUUAGAAAUAAGCAUUCUAUUCCAUCAAUAAAAUGCAUAAGAUAAAACUUAAAAGUUAAGGGCUUAAGGGAGAGAAACAUAGUUUCUAUUAUGUUUAUUGUUUAGUCUCUUCAAUAAGUUUUUCAAAAAAAAUCUUACGAAUUAAAGGUAUGUCUUAUCUCAAUAUUGUGACUAUGAACAUCAUAUUGUUCUAAAAACCUUGACAAUUAUGAUUUGUGCAAAAUUAUGGAAUUCGGGUUAUGAUUGUUCUAUAGAAUUAGAGUUAUGAUUGCUUCUUAGGAAUAAAGGUUAUUAUUGUUCUAGAAAUUAGGUUUAUUAUUGUUUUGCAUAAAUAAAGAAACCUUAACAAUGAUAUCUUAAAACAUUAUCUUAUUUAAAUAUAAUAUUUAAUGAUAUUAAAUUCCAUUAAAAAUAAUAUCUUAAAAUAGAUUAAAUAUAUUUCUUAUUAAAUAAGAUAUCCUAUUUUAUCCUCUUUCUAUAUUUGCAUUCUGAAUUUUCCAGAUUAAUUUAUAUAUUUUUAUGCUUAAAAAUUCUUUUUCAUUUUUAUUUUUUUUAUUUUUAAAGUCUGAAUUUAAAAAUUAAUAGCUGUUUUAAUUAAUUUAUUAUAAUUAUAAAAUAUAAUUAUUCCAAUUCUAAUUUAAUCUAUUUUUAUUACUGAUCAUUAUUAGUUUCUGCUUUCAUGGAAAGUUAAUAUUUCCUAGUCUAAAGUUAACUUUCCAUAAAUGCAGAUAAUUUUUUUCAUUAAAUAUCUAAAACGUACAGAAGGAAAAAAAAAAAAAAAAAGGGGGUGAGGUAAGAAGGGAUGAGAAAGAGAAGCAAGAGUUGGUUGAAUUUGAAAUGGGUUGAAAGGCAGCCCAUGAAGGUAAAAUUAUUGGUGGGUAUACUGAUCCUUGGGUUUUGUUUAGUGGGUUUGAGGCAUCUCGUCAAAUAUGGAAAUGGCUUUCCUUUGUUCGUCGCCUCCCAAUUCAUCCAUCUAUCUGGCAUCAUCAUCCUCAUCUUCAAGCUCAUCAAAACCAAGACUUGUUCUGGUAAUUCCAUUUUUUCUUCUGCUUCUUACUUUGAUCUUAUUUUCAUGUAUAUGUUAUGUUUUUCUUUUGAUUCCUUUCGAUUGUGUUAAUGAUUGAUGAAUUUUUAGAGAAAAAUAAAAGGAAAAAAAAUAUUUCUUUUUCCCUUCUUAAAAAUGCCUUCAUUGAGAAAAAGUUGGCAAUAAAAAUAGUAGCCUUUUAUUUGGUCUUGGGUUUUUACUUCAAAGAAAAAAAAAAUCACAUUUGUUCAUUAUUGGUCUUUGUUUUAUUUUCCUUUUUAUUUUUAAUUUUUAUUUUAACAUUGUUGAAUAAAAAGUGAAAUCCCUUAUGACUAAUAAAGGAAUUGGUGAAAAUUUAUAUGUUCUAUGUCCUAGUCUAUUACCAAGAUAUGCAAUACCUAAUAUUGAUUAGAAUACCUUUCUUAAAUUUCAUAUAAAUUCAAUGGGUAUUUGAUAAAAUCUAAUAUUUAUUAUUUAAUAAUUUAAAUUGACUUUAAGUUAAAUUAUACUUAACUUAUUAAGUUAAAACUUAUUACUUAAUUUUUACUUUUAAAUAUUAAGAUUCAUUAAUAAAAUUAACCUAAAUUUUAUUCUAAAUCAUCAAAUUGAUAUAUUUAUCCUCAUAAAUAUAUGAUUAGGGUAAAAGAAAGUUCGGUAAUAAUGAAGGUCAUGGAAUAGCAAAGAAAAUCGCGGAGGUAAUUAGGGCAAAUAAGAGCAAAAAAAAUAAAAUAAAGAUGUGAAAUUAAAAAUAAAUUAAUUAUUUUUACUUGUUAUUUAAAGUUAUUUUUUAUUUUAAGUCAUAUCAUUAUAUUAUUUUAUCAAAUAUUCUUAAUUUAUUUAAUAAUUUAAAUUAAGUUAUUAAGUCACUUUAAGUUAUUAAGUUGGUUUACCAAACAUCCAUUAAGGGUAGAAAUUAUUGAGGAUCUCUGACCUUGUUAAAGGAGAUGACAUAAGUUUUGAGUGAAUUUUGAACUUAUGUUAAAAAAAUAUAGUAAACAUUUAUACUAAUAAUAAUAAUAAUAAUAAUAAUAAUAAUAAGUGUUUUUAUAAUAUUUUUGGUAAUAUAUUAUAUAAUAAUAUUUAUAAAAAAAAUCAUUACUAAGUGAUGAUUAGAAAGUACUUCAAGAAAUUAUCUAAAAUAUUAAAAAUAAUUUUCAAAAUUUAUCAUAUAUCUAGUUUUUGUAAGAAGAUGGAAGUGUCAUCAAGCUUUUUUAAUUUUUUUUUUUUCAAUAUCACUCCCACGUAUGCUAUUACAUGUUAUCAACUUGAAUACAUAUAUAUAUAUAUGGCUAAUGCUCUUAUUUAAGUCUAAGCCACGAGUAUAUUGAUGCACCACCUCCUUGAUUUAUGAAAUUAAUUACAAGGUCUUUCUUCCUAAUUGUCUUUGAGAACAGUUUAGAACAAAAAGACAGAUAACAUAUUUGACAAUUAAAAAAUAGAAAAUAUAGUACUUUUAGAUAAUAUCUUUUAGUCGUUUUAACUUUUUAUUUGGGAAUGAGCAAAAACUAAACAAAAAUACAUUUAUAGUUUAAUGAUAACAAAGAAAAUUUUCUUCUAUCUAUCAAUAGGGGUUCAAAUCCCCUUGAAAAUAAUUUUUUUUAAAAAGUUUGUAAAGUUAUUUUAAAACAUAUUUAAAAAUAUAUAAAAUAAGUUAAAUAAUAUUCUAGGUUCCCAAAUUGACUUUUAUUUUACAAAACAUUAGAAAAUAAAUCAAAAACUAUUUUUCAAAACAAAACCUAAUUGUGCAUACAAAUUUUUAUCUGGUCAAAUUAAAAAUUGAUUAACUUUAAAAAAUAAGAUAUGUCUUGAGCUUUGAAUUUUGACAUGCGGUCUUGAGCUUGACAUGAACUCUUGGAGUGUUUUGGGUUUGGCUUGAUCCUUCGUGUGUCUUAGGCCUAAAUUUGGACUAUGGCAUGACUUGCGAUUAGGUUUGGACUUUGGCUUGGCCCACAUUCAUCAAGAGCAUGGGCACUUGAUCUCAAAUUGAAGACGUCUUAAUAUUAAUUUUGAAAUUUUAAACUUGAUCUUCCAAUUUUCAAGUUUGAUUUUUGAAUCUUCCCAUUUGGCCCCCAUUGUAGGAAUACCCACAAUAUGAUUAUAAGCAUAAUUUUUUUUUCUUUUUUAUGUUCAAUAAAUAUAAAAAUAAAAGAGAAUUACAUAUGUAAUAAAUAAAAUACAUAUAUAAAUAUAGACAAGAUUUUAACUUUUUUGGACAAGUUUUGCAUAUAGGGAGGGAUCAACUAAUCCUCUAGAACGUAAAAGAGGAAAGAAAAAAAUAAAUAAAAAAAGACUUUGAAUGUGGCGUCACGACUUUUUCCCCCAUGGAGGCACCCUUCAACAUUUAUAUAGAGAUUCCUUUUUUUUUUUUUGUUAAUCUUAUAACAAAACUUAAUUUUGCAAAAUAAUACCAAUAUCUAAAACAUCUUAUACAAUAUAUAAUUUUUUUAUAAAAAUCAUAUUUAAGACACUUUCAAACAUAAAUUAUGAGUGUAGUUAAUAGUGAUUCUAGGCAGGUGGUAUUUUUAGUAUUUAGUAUUUUUAUUAUUUUUAAUAUUUUUUAAGUGUUAAAAAAAUUAGAAAUACUCCACAACCUCCUGAUCAUAUAUACCAAAUUUAUAUGACAUCCUGUGAUGACUUGAUGAGAAUAAUUUCCUGCUCUUUCCUCAAACUUUGUUUAGAAUGCGUUGAAAAGUGGAGGGGGGGGGGGGCGGGGGGUGUUUUUCAAAUUCAUGUGAAGGGCAAGUAGAUAUGCAUAUAUAAUGCCUAACUGAUCUAGUAUCGUCUUCAGGGCUUUCCCUAAAAAGUCAAGAGCUGACAGCUACAGUGAUAGCAGCAAGAGCAUAUUGCAGUUUCGAAGUAGAAGACCAUACUUUUACACUACUAAGCUCUGCUAUAUUUCUUUCAACUCUUUGGGUCAUUUAUAUGAUCCGCUUCAAGUUGAAGCCUACCUACUCUAAGGAACUCGACAGCAUGCCCCUCUAUUCUUUGGUAAUUAAACCCCAUGCACCCCCCCUCCAUCCCCUGGCUUUAUUCUCUCUCUCUCUCUCUCUAAUUCAUUCCCAUGCAUACAUGCAUGGUACUGUUUGGACUUUCAGGUGGUGCCUUCAGCUAUCCUUGCUGUGCUAAUCCAUCCUCGUCAUUUCCAUCACAGACUCCUCACCAGAAUAAUUUGGUCUUUCUCUUUCUACUUGGGCGCCAUCUCUGUGCUUCCUCAGCUUCGUUUAAUGCAGAAUGCAAAGGUUAAUUAACUAAAUUUGUUGACCCAUUAUCCAUGAGAAGGUGAAUUAAUCAAUGCUUCACUCUCUUCUUUUCUUCAACUCCUUUCAGAUGGUGGAACCCUUUACCGCAUAUUAUGUGUUUGCAUUGGGCGUGGGAAGAUUUCUCAAUUGCGGUUCUUGGAUCAUUCAUGUGAGUAGCUUUGCCACCUCCUUUUUCACACUACAUAAAAUAUUAUCAAUAAUAUAUUUUCAAUUAAUGUCAUGCAGAUUUAUGAGACUGGGGGACAGUAUCUAAUGCUCCCCAGCAACUGGACGCAGUUGUGGGUUCUGAUGGUUCUUCUCUCAGAAUUUGUUGAUGCCUUUAUCUUGGCUGAUUUUUGUUACUACUAUCUCAAAAGGUAAUUAAUUGGACUCAACUUUUCAAACUACUCAUCAAUAUCACUUUUCAGUCUUCAGUCUUUAGUCUUAAUUCUUAAGUAGCACCAGCAUCAUGAUCAGUGAUCACUAAUUGGUUGAGAGUUUGUGACUUGUAGUGUCAUGUACCAGCAACUGCUUCUGGAGCUCUCUUCACCCUCCUAUUCGCUUGCAAGGGGAAAAAACAUUUGAUGUGCCCUAUUUUUUUUUUUUUUGGCUUUAUUCUUUGUAAUUUUUUUUUCUUUUUUUAACUCUGAAUUUACACAUGACCUGGUGGAAUAGGCCAUUGGUUAUCCAAAAAUUUUUCCCUUUUGUUUUUUUGUUUGAAACUUGAUAAAGAGAUUAAAAUUCUUCUUAGACCUAAAACAGGACAAAAUACCUUCCAGUAUUGUGAACUAUGUGGCUUGUUUAAUGGUAAAAACAUUGUGCCUCACCAUUUUUAGCUACUCCCUCACUUAUCAUUGGAUUGGACUUGUGCAAUAAUUUAGAAAAUUUAUAAAAGAUUCUUCCAAUUUAUCAUUUCCCGAUCCAAUGGAAUUCAUAUGUGUAAGAAGAAGCCCUGUCAAAUAGAGAUAUUUUCUUUGGAACAUAUUUCGACUGUUAAUACGAGAUAUAUAUAUAUAUAUAUGGACCGCUACUACAAAUAGUACUACACCCUUAAUAGUGAAAUAUCAAUUGUUAUUGAAUCUUAUGAAUUGCGUGAAAGUAGGAUGGUCCAAAUUCGAGGGUCAAAGAGUUUUAUUCUUGAUGAAAAAAAAUGUGUAAGUUUAUAAUAUAAAUAAUAUGGUUUGUUGGGGAGCUAAUGCAAUGGUUUCCACUCACAUAUUUGUUUAAAACAUCCAUUAAAUUAUUAAUUUUAAAAAAAAAUUAAAUAUAAAUUUUACCUCCUCUAAAAGAUUAUAUUUUACACAAAAGUACUAAGAAUUAUUAAUAUAUUUAGAUUUUAAUAAAAUUAAAAAAUAAUGAAUAAAAUCUUUCUCAAAUCUAUUUAAUAUCUGUAUUGUUUUUAUUUUGUUUCUAGUUAUUAUUUUCAAUUUUAUUUUUCAUUAAUUUAAAGUUGGUUUCUUUUUCUAAUUUUGAAAUUUUUUAUUUUUGAAAUUAUUUAAAUAACAAAUCCUUUACAAUUAACCUAUAUAAUUAUAUUAGAUUAUAUACUUUUUAAUUUUUAAUAAGAUUUAGUUUAAUCAAAAUUUUCAAAAAAAUAAAAUUGUCUUCAUUUAAAAUUAUAAAAUAUAACAUCAUUUAAUAAUAUAUUUUAAACAAAAUUGACCGACAUACGGAGGUUACCUUGUGGGAAAUAAAAGAAAUAUACCCUAUAUUCUCUUACACAGUAUAUAAUGUUUGUUAGGAAUGCGUGUGACCUGUUAAAUAUUACAAGUAAUAUUUGGGUGGCUUUGCCAAUCCACAGUAGUAAUCAAUUAGCAACUAGGUGGUAGUGCUAGUCCACAGAAGAUUAAAUGAGUGAGUUGGAUGGCUAUGUCAACCUUCAUAAAUUUAAAUAAGCAAUUGAGUGGUUAUGUCAACCUAUAGAAAUGAGUAAAUGGUGGCAGUGCUAGUCCACAAGAAAUAAAAUAUGCAGUUGAAAAAUAAAAUAGCAAGAAAAAGGAACACUCCAUUUACGUGAUAAAACCCUUAGAAUGAGGGAAAUCUCCACGGGGCAAAGCCGAUAAAAGAAUCCACUAUAUGAUGAAAUUGAGACAAUAUAUUACUCAAGUAUUGCCCUUACUUGAGUUUCACACACCCCAAGAUAUGCUCACAAUUGUCACAAUUUUAUCAGUCAAUGUUCUCUAUGUGAAACACUAAUUUUUGGAAGAAAAAAACCACAACAAUUUAUUGGUAAGAAAAAGGGUUGUGGCGGUGGCGGCAUGGGGUAACUGAAGCCAAACAAUUUUUGGUUUCUUAAGAUGGCUGCUUGUCUACCUCAUUUAAUGGGAUGGACCCCACCAAUGUCUUGACACUCAAAAGAAAGAGAGAGUAGAAUAAAAUGAAAGUUAUUUGAUCUAGGAAAUACAUAGAAGAGGUGAACAAUGUUUCAACCAUUUUUAAUCUAAAAUUACAUGUUUUAAAUUAUUCUUUGUAAGUUAUGAAAGUAUAAACACAUUCAACUCCGGAAUACAAUAUUUUUUCCAUAGAAAACUACCCAAUGUGAGGAAGUAAAAAACAUAAGAGCAGAAAAUGUAGUACACAAUUCUACCUUAUGGAAAUUAUCCUUAAGUCUUACUUUUGGUUGAAGUUAUCCCUAAGUCUUGCUCCUGACACUUAAACUGCACUUCAUGUUCACGACCCAACACCACGUGUGCUCUAGUAGAUCUAUUUUUAACACUUGAGGUGAUGUAGAUCUCCUUCUCAAUUAAAGAGUGUGCAGACAAACGUUUUUAGAUUUUGAAGCUCAAAAAGGAUUGAUUAGGUUUUUUAAUAUUCACCUCAAACCAAAAACCUUUUUAGGCUAGGCUUUUGAAAGAUACAAAUACCUAGUGGACUCAAAUUAGGAUUUCUAAAAUAAAUCCAAUUAUAAUUGUAAAAUAAAUUCAAUUACAAUGGUAAAAUAAAUCCAAUUACAAUUGUAAAAUUAAUCCAAGGUAUUUAUACUUGGCAGUUUAAAAAAAAACAUUUUUGAAAUUAAACAUUCCAUUUUGAAAAGUACUUUCAAAAUAUUUUAUUCCCAUUAAGUUACUAAAUUUUUCCAAAUAUUUUGGUAACCAUUUUAAAAAUAAAUUACCCAUAGUGAGAAUUUCUAAAAAAAACUUUAUUAAUUCUUUAAUUGGAAUAUUGAUACUUAUAAGGAACACAUAAUUUUAUAAAGAUUUUAAAAUAAGAUAAUAUUUCCUUAACUUUAGAAAAGAGAUUUUCUAAGGAUUUUUAGAAAAGAAAACUAAAUUGCCUCAUAAUUUUAAAAAAUAUUUCUAUAAACAUUCCAAUGUUGAAUAAAAUUUUAAUUUAGAAAUAAUCUUCUCAUAAAAAUUUAUUUUCCAUAAGAAAAUCCAAAAUUACCUAUUUUGAAAAUAUUUCUCAUCACAUGCAACAUAAUCAAUAUGUAUAAAAAAAAGUAAUUAAUAAAAAGGAGUUCACUUAAUAUGGCCAAGUGGGCUUAGGUCACUUAAUCUUGUUAGGGACCCUAUAAAUACCCUCUAGGAGUUUGAGUUUCUGUCACUUUUUUCUUCCACCAUGCAAAGAGAAGAAAGAGAGCCCUAGUUUCCACCCUCCCAAAUUUUCCAUUGUUUAUGUUCUAAGAAAUGAGGUUAAGUUAUAAGGUGGAAGAUUGUGGGCCUACAAGACUUCAAAGGACAUUGAUUUGAUUCUUCAAUACUUAGAAUUUAAGGUUUCAAAACAUCCAAACAUAAAAGUUAGUAUUUUAACCAUAAAGAUCAAUUUUUAGAAAAUUGGCAUUGCAUCCAUUGCAUAUAUAUCUAAGAUGCCAACAAUAGGUAUUAGAACUUUAUGUUAUAAGCAUACUUAGAUCUUUAUUUAGGAUGUGUUAACCUCUUUUUUGUAGUCUUGUUAUUAUCUCAUAGCCAAAGGAUGCAUGCAUGCUCUCUUUUUUAUUAUUGUUUUUUAUGAUUGAAUGAGAUAAUUAUUUUUUUUCUUUGUUUCUUCAUAGAUCCGGUUGUAAUCUCCAUUAAAGGAGUAUUUCAAGUUUUCUUGUAAAUUCUUGAUCUUUUUUUCAUAAAUUGAGGUUUAAGCUCUAUUGUAAGAGGAUAGAUUUAAUUUCAUGAUAUAAAGUUAAAUUUUUAUCAUUUAUGGAGAGCUACAAGAGAAGAAUUCCUCAUUGAUUUCAAUAAAGAUUUGAUCUUUAUUAGAACAUUAUCUAUGAAGUAUCAAGGAGUUUAUUGGCUGUGGAAAAUGAUGAAUAUUUCCUUUGAAUAAAAAACUAAAAAAAAAAAAAGAUUCUAGAAAGUUUUUUUUUGUUUUUUUUUUUUUUUUGGGGAUCCAUAGUAGCACAAUGUCAUUGAAUUUGACUCAAAAUUGGUAUCAUGAGUUUAUUGGGUGAAGUCACAUAUGUUUUUAAAGCUUAAGAACUUAGGAAUCCAACGCUUCAAACAGUUCACAAAUCAGAGUUUAAAAGAGGGAUAUAUGGUCGUCUGAAGCAAAGCUGUGCAAAAGGUAUGCUAUUUCAAGAUUGAGUACAGGCUAAAUUCCUUUUUCUUAUUUGGGCUUGGUUUUGGGCCACUCAUUAGGCUCAAUUUGUGGUGGAAAUCUAGUGCAUCAUGAACUGAACAUGGAUGCAUAAACUUUCCAUUUUUAGGUUGUAAAAGUUUCUAUUUUUUCAAUUGAGAAAGUUGUUAUUUUCAGUAGCAAAAGUUCUUAAAUUUUUUGUUUGAGAUAGUUUCUAUUUUGCAUGCACAAUGGUAGUCGUAUAGGAACAUUAUUUUGGAAAGUUUUGAUGCGAAAAUUGUGUCAAGUUAUGAAAAGUUGAAAACCAAUAGCUCUUGUGUGCAAUUGGAAAGCUGCUUGUGCAAAAAUAUCCCUUAGACAUAAGAACUCUUGUUUAUUAUUUCAUUUUUUAUGUAUAUUGAUUAUAUUGCAUGUGAUGAGAAAUAUUUUCAAAGUUUGUAAUUUUGGAUUUUCUUAUGGCAAAUAAAUUUUCAUGAGAAAGUUAUUUCCAAAUUAAAGUUUUAUUCAAAAUUAGCACGAUGUUAUUAUUAAAUAUUUUUUAUAGAAAGAUUUUUUAAAAUUGUGAGAGAAUCUAGAAAAUUAAAUCCUUGAAGUUCUCAAAAUUAGAAAGUAUGGAAAAGAAAUCUUCUAAGGGUUUUUAGAAAAUGAAACUAAAUUAUCUCACAAUCUUUAAAAUAUAUAUAUAUAUUUCUAUAAAAACUUCUUUAAUAAUAACGUCAUUCUAACGCCAUUCUAAUUUGAAUAAAACUAUAAUUUGGAAAUAACCUUCUCAUGAAAAUUUAUUUUUUAUAAGAAAAUCCAAAAUUACCAACUUUGAAAAUAUUCCUUAUCACAUGCAAUAUAAUCAGUAUGCCUAAAAUAGGAAAAAACCAAAAAGAGUUUUCAUAGCCAAGAGAUAUUUUUGCAUAAGCAACUUUCCAAUUAUGCACAAGAAUUAUUAAUCUUCGAUCAACUUAUUAUAGCUUGGCAAAAACUUUUGGCAUCAAAACUCGCCAAAAUAAUGCUCCUAUACGGUUGUCUACUAUACAUGCAUGCAAUAUAGAAACUUUCUUAAUCAAAAAAAUUAGGAACCUUUGCUAUUGAAAAUAAUAACUUUCUCAAUUGAAAAGAUAAAAACUAAAUGACAGCUUUGUGCAUCCAUGCUCAAUCCAUGAAGCACCAUAUUUCCACCAUAAAUUGAGCCUAACAAGUGGCCUAAAACCGAGCCUAAACAACCAAAAAGAAUUUGGUUUUAGCCCAUACUCAAUCCCGUAAUAGCAUGUCUUUUGUACAACGUUGUUUCAAACGACCAUAUCUCCCUUGUUUCAACUCUGAUUUGCAAACCAUUUGAAGUAUUAGAUUCAUGACUUCUUAAGCUUCAAAAUCAUAUAUGACUUGCCCUAAUAAACUCAUGGAAGGCAACCCCAAUUUUGAUUCAUAGUCAAUGACAUUAUGCUACCAUGGAUCUCAAAAAAAAAAAAUCUAAAAUCUAAAAUCCUUUUUUUCCCUUUUUGUUAUUCAAAGGAAAUAUUUAUCCUUUUCCACAGCCAUGAAACUCCUUGAUUCUUCAUAAAUGAUGUUCCAAUAAAGAUCAAAUCUUUAUUGAUAUCAAUGAGGAAUUCUUCUUUUGUAGCCUUCCAUAGUUGAUAAAAAUUUAACUUUACACCAUGAAAUUAAAUAUUAUGCUCCUAUAAUGGAUCUACACCUCAAUCUAUGGAAAAGAUAAAAACUUUACAAGAAAACUUAAAACCCUAUGCUCCUUUAAUGGAUAUUACAAUCAAAUCUAUAAAGAAACUAAGAAAGAAAAUAAUUAUUUCAUUCAAUAAUAAAAUACAAUAAUAUAUAUAUAUAUAUAUAUAUAGCACGCAUGAAUCCCUUGGCCAUGAGAUAAUAUCAAGAUUGCAAAAAAGAUAUUAGCACACCCUAAAUAAAGAUCAAAGCAUGCUUAUAACAUAAAGUCUAAUAACAUAGAUCUAUGCAAUAAAAGCAAUACCAAAAAAAUGAUCUUUCCUAAACCUUAAAUUUCAAGUGUUGAAUAAUCAAAUUGAUGUUCCCAAAAGUCUCAUAGAUUUACGAUUGUCCACCUGGUGACUCAAAUUCGUAUUUUAGCACACAAACAAUGGGGAAUUUGAAAGGGUAGAGAUUAGGGUUCUCUAUUCUCUCUAGAUAGUGGAAGAUAAAAGUGAUGGAAACCCUAAUCACUAGGAGUAUUUAUAUGGUUUCUAACUAAGCUUAAGUAAUUUGAGUCCAUAUGGGUUCGGAUCACUUAAUCUAACCAAAAUUGGGUUCUAAUUAAUUAAUUAACCCCACAAGGUUAUCUAAUUAAUCAAUUAAACAAAGAUGUUGUUCACUAACCUAUAUGUAACCUUACAUACUUACCAAAAUAUCCUUAAACACUAUUGAGUUGUAAAUAAAAUAGGAGAAUUAUUUUCCUAUUAUGUUAGUUUCCUAUUUCUGUAAAUAGAUAGCUUUGUUACUUUCCUAUUUCUAUAAAUAGAUAGUUUUAUGAUUUAGGAAUAAGUUAGUUUCCUAUUAUAUCUCUUGUUUUUUAUUCCUUCUCUUGUAAUCUCCUAUAUAAACUAUGUAUAAUUAAUCUAAUAGACAAAAUUUAUUAUUUUUCAUCCCAUAUUUCAUGUCAUAGUAUCAAAGUUGUAGGUUUUUAAGACUUGGGCAUCAUUCUGGCCUUCAUCGCCAUUUUUCUAGCCUUCAUAGCUGGAUUUUUUUUUUAUUCACGUGUUCUUUUACCAACCUUCAUUGCUGUUGACUUUUUUGUUUCGUGAUCUGCCUUAAUUCCAAGAGAUCAAGUUUUUUCGUGGAAGAUGUUGGAAAAUUCAUGUACACCUUCACUCUCUUUUUGCAUAAAUGCCUCACACAGAGUUUAUGAUAACUCUUGGAUAAUAGACUCUAGUGCCACAGACCAUAUGACCUCCAAAUCUCAACUUUUCAAUACCUAUACCCCAAGCCCAAGUAACAAGAAAAUUGUAGUGGUCAAUGGCUCUUUACCUACCGUUGCAGGUUUCGGAGACAUAUACAUCACACCUACCCUUAUUCUUAAAAAUGUCCUUCAUGUACCAAAAUUGUCGGCCAACCUUGUUUCCAUUCAAAAGCUUACCCAUGAUCUUAAAUGUUAUGCUAUUUUUUCCUCUUCUUAUUGUGUUCUUCAAGAACAAGGCUCGGGGAGGAGGAUUGGACUUGCUAAGGAAAGGAGCGGUCUUUACCACCUUGAAUCAUCUCAGAAAACUAGUAAUAAUUUGUCGUUGUCUUUUCUCAGUUCCUCAAAUAAAGAUACCAUUUGGUUGUAUCACCUACGUUUAGGUCAUCCAUCUUUUAGGGUUUUAAAGGUCAUGUUUCCUCAUUUGUUCCAAGGAUUAGAUAUUUAUGAGUUUCAUUGUGGAACUUGUGAAUUGGCAAAACAUAGUCGUGUAUAUUUUCCUAUUAGCAAUAAAAGAAGUUCUCAUCCUUUUCAUUUGAUUCAUAGUGACAUAUAGGGUCCUUCAACUAUACCUAAUGUUUCUGGGGCUUGUUGGUUUAUAUCCUUAAUUGAUGACUGCACUUGGGUUACAUGGAUCUUUCCUCUUAAACAAAAAUCUGAUGUUAGCAUUGUUAUACCUAAUUUCCACUCAAUGGCUCAAAACUAAUUUGGGGUUAAAAUAAAAGGCUUUAGGACAGACAAUGCUAGAGAUUACUUCAACUAGACUUUGUCACCCUAUUUUCAAUCAUAGGGCAUUCUCCAUGACUCAUCAUGUGUUAACAUACCCCAACAAAAUGGGGUAGCCGAGAGGAAAAAUGGGCAUUUACUCAAAACAACCAUAGUCUUACUCUUUCAAGGGAAUGUUCCUAAGUUCUAUUGGGGGGAAGUUGUUCUUACUACCACAUACAUGAUAAAUAGAAUUCCCUCACGAGUGUUAGACAACAAAAGCCCCGUAGAGAUACUUAAGAGUUUUUAUCCACACUUCAGAACCUCAAAUGGGCUCACUCCUAGGGUUUUUGGGUGCACUACAUUUGUUCAUGUCCACAACCAACAUAGAGAUAAGCUAGACCCUCGAGCCAUAAAAUGUGUCUUCCUUGGUUACUCAUCCACUAAAAAAGGAUACAAGUGUUAUAAUCCCUCAGCCAAAAAAUUUUACAUCUCUGCAGAUGUCACCUUCAUAGAAAAUAAACCUUUUUUCCCUAAGUCCUCUCUUCAGGGGGAUAUUUCAAUGAUGGAAGAUAGUCCUUAUGAGUCCUUUGAACCUCUUGACCUUCCUCAUGUCUCAACCCAUGGUGAUGAAGAACCUGAGUCAUCCGAACCUGAGUCAUCAAAGUCAAUCACACCCGAGUUACCCAAUUUUACCACUGAACUUGUGUCAUCCCCUGUUCCAGCUAGUGUCACUCGCAAUUUUCCAUAGGUUCCUAAGGUGUAUUCAAGAGAAAAGAUCAUUCCAAAAGAAAAGCAAGCCCAAGAAUCCAACUCAGACCUUAGGAAUGAAAUCGCAGUAAGAUCAGAUUGAUUACUACCAAAAAGUGCUAUUUUGUAGACCUAAUUAUAAUGGUUUUAAGCACCUUUGAGUAGUAAUCAUAUUCAUUUAACCUAAUUAAUUCAUUAAGGUCCUUAGUAAUUGGUUUUAACCAUUUUGUGGCAAGUUUACAUGUUUUUAUCAGCUUAUGAAUCAAUUCAAGCAUGCCAAAUGAUGGAGGAGCUACUUGGACAAGUUAUGGCAAAGCUUUUGGAAGCUCAAAUUCAUGAAUAACCAAGCUUUGGAGCUCCAUAGCCCUUUGCCAAAGUCGUUCAAAGUAUGCAAGGAAAGAACAAUGGAGAAGAGGAAAGCAAAGUGAAAAAAUCAGAGGACAGCAGCUGUAGUCUUCUUUCGCACUUUUGGAGUACUUUCCGAAGUCCAUUUUCUACAUGCUAUAUACCAUUUCAAAGCUCUGGAAGUCAAGAAUCCAACGCUUCAAACCGUACAUGAUUUGGAGUUGAAAUGAGGAAGAUAUGGCCUUCGGAAGCCAACUGCUCCAGGUUAUGCGAAUUUCAAAAUUCGCAUAACCCAUGCGUGUUGCGAAUUUUGCUCUGUUUUUGCCGACUCCACUUUAGAUAUUUUCCUUUGUAUUUUGUGAUGUAAUUUCCUUUCUUAUCCUUGUAACUAACCAAUCACAAGCUUUUGCUUUUGUAAAGACUAUAUAAGGGGUGGAAAUCACCUCUUGGAAGAUAUAGAAUAUAGAAUAGAACGUAUUACGUUUGACACUUAGAAUAUAUACAAAGCUCUCUCGUCUCUCUUUUAUCUUUGCUAUUUUAUUUUCUUGGAAGCCAAACAGCCUCUGAGGGCUUUUCCUCAGAGGAUGAUUGGCUAAAACUUUUAGUUUCUCAAAGUAUGGAUGCUAUGUGAUGGCUUGGAUGCAAUCCCAUGGAAAUUUCUCGCACCCGGAAGGUAAGGUAGUCGUUUUUCAUUAAAGGUUCAUUAAUGCAAAGUUUGGUUUUUAUUUCCUUUGGACAACUUCCAACGGCCAAUACUUGAUAAGCUUUUGGAUUUCUAUCCAUUAGUUAUCUCCUACGAGCUAUUGGAAGGUGAGGUUUUCAAUUCCAAGUUUUGCAUUAAUCCGUUAGAACCAAUUUCAAUGGCCAUUGAAAGGUGAGUUUAUCACCUAGAAUGACUUUGAGUUGCCAAUAUUUGGUAAGCUUUUGGUUUUAGACCAUUAGUUAUCUCUUACGAGCCAUUCAAAGGAAGUCUAAGGUGAAUAACCAUUGAUGAAAUUCACUACCAUCUGUUUUGCCAUUUUAAAGGAUUAAAACUUGAUUUGCUAAAUCCAUACCGGUUUGGGAAGCAAGCAUCACCAUAGUUGCAACCUCAACGUGAGGAGCCUAUCCUGAGAUUUCCAAUUUGCAUAAGAGCCAGAGCAUAACUAUCCUAUCUUUGAGAAACUUGUUUUUACACCCUUUCAUUUUAGUCUUUAAUGUUAGCUUAGAUUAGUUUAAAUCUUUCUAAAACAUUUACAUCUUCUUUUAAAGCUAACAUCCAUAAGAAAAUCACCUAUUUUCCUAAUUUGAAUAUCACUAGUGUUUGCGAAAACCCUUCCCAGUGAACGAUCCUAGAACCACUAUGCUAUAGUAGCUUGGCUACUUUAGUAAUAGUAUUAAAGGUAUAAAUUUUGUUGAUACGCCUUUAAAGCUAAGCUACCAUGAGUCGAAUCAUAGACCCACCUUUACAUACACAACCUGGUGAAACUUUCACUGACUCAACAGACAACCUAGACCUAGACCUUCCUAUUGCUGUUAGAAAAGGCACCAGAGAAUGCACUAACCGACCACUCUAUCCACUAUCACACUAUGUGUCUCUUAAGCACCUAUCACCAGCCCACAAGAAUUUUAUUGUGAGUCUAAACACCACUAUAAUCCCUAACACUAUUUCUGAUCCAUUGACAAAAAGGGAAUAGAAGGAUGCUAUGAGAGAGAAGAUGAGUGCAUUAGAAAAAAAUAAAACAUGGGAGAUUGUUGAAAGACUGAAAGAGAAAAACAUGGUUGAUUGCAAGUGGAUUUUCACACUGAAAUAUAAGACCGAUGGAUCCCUUGAGAGACAUAAAGCAAGAUUGGUAGCCAAAGGGUACACUCAAACUUAUGGAGUUGAUUAUCAGGAGACUUUUGCUCCAGUUGCAAAAAUGAAUACUGUAAGAAUCUUGCUGUCACUGGUUGCCCACUACAAUUGGCAACUCCUAUAGUAUGAUGUUAAGAAUGCAUUUCUUCAUGGUGAUUUAGAUGAAGAGAUUUACAUGAACAUCCCACCGGGAUUUGAGGGAAACACAGGUAACAAGGUGUGCAAGCUGAAAAAGGCCCUUUAUGGGCUAAAACAAUCUCCUAGGGCUUGGUUUGGGAUAUUUUCAAAAGUCAUGAAAGAGUUUAGGUACAAAACAAAGCCAGGGUGACCACACUCUCUUCAUUAAGCACUCAGCUUCAGGGGGAGUAACUACUCUUCUAGUCUAUGUUGAUGACAUCAUGGUGACUGGAAAUGAUGAGAGAGAAAAACAUGAAUUGAAGCAAAUAUUAGUAAUAGAGUCUGAGAUAAAGGAACUAGGAAAACUGAAGUACUUCCUCGGUAUUGAGGUGGUAUAUUCCACACAAGGGAUUUUCAUCUCUCAACAAAAGUAUGUGACUGAUUUAUUGGCAGAAACAGGGAAGAUUGGGUGUAAACCAGUCUCUACCCCAAUGGAUCCAAACCACAAGUUGGGAGAAGUUAAAGAAAAACCAGUGGUGGAUAAAAGAAUGCACCAGAGGCUGGUUGGUAGGCUCAUAUACUUUGCUCACACUCGGCCAAACAUCACCUACUCAGUGAGCGUGAUCAAUCAAUUCAUGUAUGAUCCAAGAGAACCUCAUCUUCAAGCUGCUUACAGGGUGCUGCAUUACUUGAAAGGCAACCCCAGGAAAGGAAUUUUGCUCAAGAAAAAUAAUACUCUUGUUCUAGAAGUAUACACCGACGCUGACUAUGCAGGUUCCCUAGUGGAUCGAAGAUCAACUACAGGGUAUUGUACUUUUCUUGGAAGUAGGUAACAUGGAGAAGUAAAAAAGCGGAAUGUGGUAGCAAGGUAUUCUGUAGAAUUAGAGUUUAGGGUCAUUGCUCAAGGGUUGUGUGAACUACUUUGGCUAAAGAUUAUUCUAGAUGAUUUGAGAAUCAAGUGGGAUGGUCUUAUGAAGCUCUAUUGUGACAACAAGUCAGCUAUCAAUAUUGCUCAUAACCCUAUACAACACGAUAGGACAAAACAUAUUGAGAUUGAUAGGCAUUUCAUCAAAGAAAAAUUGGAGGAAGGAGUAGUGUGUUUGUCCUAUGUUCCAUUAGAACAUCAAUUAGUUGAUAUCCUAACAAAAGGGCUGAACAAUUCAAUGUUUCACAAUCUUGUAUUCAAGCUGGGAAUGGAAGACAUAUAUUCUUCAGCUUGAGGGGGAGUAUUGAGCUGUAAAUAAAAUAUGAGAAUUAUUUUCCUAUUAUGUUAGUUUCCUAUUUCUGUAAACAGAUGGUUUUGUUAGUUUCCUAUUUCUGUAAAUAGAUAGUUUUAUUAUUUAGGAAUAAGUUAGUUUAGGAAUAAGUUAGUUUCCUAUUAUGUCUCUUGUUUCCUAUUUCUUCUCUUGUAAUCUCCUAUAUAAAUUGUGUGUAUAAUUAAUAUAAUAGACAAAAUUUAUUAUUUUUCAUCCCAUAUUUCGUUUCAUACACAUAAGUGAACCAAGAGUUAAUCCAAUCCUCAUAAACCAUGCUAACAAGGUAUAUGAGUUCAAGCGGGGACCACUAAGACUCAUAGGACAAUACAACUAUCUCAAAUUCCAAUUUUAAAGUUGAUUCAACAUCAUAUUAUAGAAAAUUAACUACACUCUAGUACCCCAUGUAAUAUUCAGGUUUGUGAUCUACUAUCCAUUACGUUCAAUCUCUCCUUGAAUUGGUGUUUGUAGUAUAACAAAGAGAAGUUAUCGACCUUUCAAGACUACUUCUACUAUUCUUAAGUUAUAGAUCCUCCUAUUAUAUGAUCAAUUGACAAAUCUUAGUUUAAAAAAAAACUUAUAUCGAGUUCCACUUAAGGAACUAUUAUGAUCAUAAUAACAUAAAUACACCUCCUUAGAAUCACCUAAUAAGACAUUUUAUCUCAAUCCUAUGAGAUAUCAUGGUGCCUCUAUCGAAAAUACUUCUUGUUGUCGGUUUCCAUCAAUAGUAACUCAAUCCAUAAGGAAUAUAUAAUCACUUUACGAUCUCACUCGUACGUCAAAGCCACUACUAACAUAAGUACAAGCUUAGUAUUCUCUUAAGAUUAAGAGAAAAUACAAUAAAUCAACUUGAUGAAAUCAUGACUACUUGAUAGCCUUAUGUUAUGAUUCACCCUAGGUCAUGUUUAAUGUGUAACUAUACACACUAGUGCACUCACCAUGGAAACUCAUCACAAUGGCCAAGACUAAUCAUCCCUCCAAUUAGGUGGUAAUACACUAAAUCAUCUAAUGGAUUACCUAAGUCUAUGAACCAACUGUAAACAAGUCAUUCAGUUACAAAAGACCAAUGACUUGGAUUUUUUGUGUAACUUCUAAUGCAACAAAGUCAUGUACAAUAUAAGGAACAUUAGGCAAGAAUUAUUAUAAGGUACAAUGGAUAGAAUACGGAUGGAUAACAAUGAAAUUGGAAUAUCAUUAAAUAAAUAAUGAAUUCCAAAUUGAUACAUUAUUUCAUGCUUUUAAAGGCUCUAUCCUAACAAUUGUCACAACAAAAAUUGAUUUAUAUUAAGUUUGUUAUCCGAUAUCUUUUUCAUUAACAAAUUUUAUUCCAAUUUUGCUCAAUUUUACCUUUCCACUCUCAAUCAAACGUUUUCUCAAUUUUCAUCUAUUAUAUUUCAUUAUCUCACCUUUUGAUUAUCACCAUCUCAAUUUAUAUCAUUUUUUUUUCUUGAUUCCAUUAUCUUAGUGUACAACAUGUAACGCUACUAUAAUAUAAUAACUUUUUGUUUAAAAUUCUUUUGAUCAAAUAAAACUAUUUUUGAAUAGAAUAAUUAAAUUAUAAAUUUUGUUUUGAUACGAGGAAGUUGACCACAAGUUUGAUUAGGAAAACAUUUUCUAGUUUUCUUUUUCUAAAAACUACUUCCAUUUCCCACUUUUUCCUUUUUCUUGCAAAUGUGUUUGACUAAAAAACGUAAAAAUCAUUUUGAUAAAAAUGAAAUCAACAAAAUCGUGUUUAUUUUUUGAGUUUUCACUAAAAAAAAAUGGUGUAUAUAUAUAGUUAUAAUUAAUUGAAUAAAUUAUUAUAAUAUAAAAAUAUAUAUCCACUUAUGAUAAUACAUAGUAUAAUAAAUAACAAAAUUAUUAUAAAAUAUGAAAAUUUAUCGGAUUAUGGGAACUUGUGGAUGAUCAUCAAUAUUGGUGUAUAUCCCUUUGUAAACCCCUAUAAAAGAGAGAUACCUUUAAUGAAAAUUUAUUUCGUUCUCUUCCUAUAUUUAAUUCUACUUUUCUUUGAAUAUUUUUUGUUUUUUCUCUUGUUUUUUCUUCUUCUUAUUCUUUUAUUUUACAACAUGUUGACAACACGACACUCUAAGUAUAUAGAAAAUGAGAAGAAUGCUCAAGAUAAAUAUAUAUAUAUAUAUAUAGGUAUGUAACCUAAUUCUCUUCGAAUGAAAUAUGAAUAGUAUGCAUUGUAUUACUAUAAUUUUUAUUUACUUUAUCUCAUAGCCAAAACCUAUAUGAAUCAUAUUUCAUAUAAUUACAUAUUUUAAUUAUUUAAUAACUAGAAGUUAUAUAGAAAAAAUUUCAUAACCAGAAGUUAUGAAAAAUAUGUACAAUCUUCAUAACUGAAUGUUAUGGGGGUAUAUUACAAAAUUACAAAUACAUAGUUGGAAGUUAUGCAUAAGAUUCCUAAUUAUUUUUUAAUUAUAUUAUAUAACUUGAAGUUACAUAAAAUAAAAUUAUAUGGCCAGAAGCUAUAUAAUGAAUAACUCAUAGAUUGAAGCUAUGCUCAAGUCCAAAAUUACAAAUACAUAGCCAAAAGCUAUGUAUAUAACUCAUAAUUAUUUGUUUUUAAUUAUAUAUUAUAACAGAAAGUGAUACAAAAUAAUAUUGUAUAGCCAGAAGCUAUAAAAUGAAUAGUUCAUAACCUGAAGUUAUGCACAAAUCUACACAAAAACAAUUCAUAACCUGAAGUUAUAUACAAAUUUAAAUAUUUUCUUGUUCUCACAAAAUAAUCAUAACUUGAAGCUAUGAAAUAUAUUAACUUUUAAUUUCUAUAAUUUCUUUUAAUUAUAUUGUAUAACUGAAAGUUAUACAUGAAUAAUUUAUAAUUUGAAGUUAUGCACAAAUUUACACAAAAAAUAGUUCAUAGCAUGAAGCUAUAUACAAAUUUGCAUAUUUUUUUAUUUUGACAAAACAAUCAUAACCCGAAGUUAUGAAAAAUAUUGACUUUUAAUUUUUAUUUCAUAUUCACGCAUUUUUCAUAACCAUGAAUUAUUGAAACAAUUUUUAUUAAUAAUUGUUUCAUAGCUAGAAGUUGUGCAAAUAAUUUCUAAUUUUCUUGUAUAACCAAAAGUUAUACAAAAUAAAAUUGUCAAUGAACAACUUUGUAGCUAGAAGAUACAUAAUUUUCUUUUUCUUAACUUUGUUGUAUAAGCAUAAGCUGCAUCAUAAUAUAAUUGUCAAUUGUUUAAUGUUAUUAUAAUAUUACUUAAACUUUAAUUAUUCAUAACCUGAAGUUACAAAGAAAAAGUUAGUAAAUUAAUAAUUGUUAAAACUCAUAUAGUCAAAAGCUAUAUGAAAAUAAAAAUAUUUUAUUAUAAACUUGUCUUAUAUAGCCAUAAGUUACAUAAAUAUUAUUAUUCAUAACCUGUAGUUAUGAAAAUGAGAAAAUUAAUAUUCUAUGUACUAAUCAAAGGUUAUGAAAAAGUUGUUAAUAUGUACUUUUUUGUAGUUAGAAGUUAGAGAACAAAAUUGUUAACUAACAAUUUUGUAUA
rnacentral:lncRNA from 1 species